GAAAGGAUGAGACCGACUGUUUCUAGAGUAAGCGACAAAGGACUUGGUGGUUGGUAUCCGAGAUCCAAGUUCAAAUUCUAGUCAAUUCACAUUUUCAGCUAAGUUUUAUUUUUAAAUGAAAGAAACAAAGCGGAUAGCGUGCUACCUAUCUCUCUCUCUCUCUCAAAAAAAAAAAAAAAUUUAUUUUUUCUACUUGACUUUAAAAGUAAAAAAAGUAAAAAGAAAAAAGAAAAGGUAAAAAAAAAAAAAAAAAAAAAAAAGGUGAGAUUUUUACUUGGCUACAAAUAAAAGUUUCGAUGCACUUGUCCUUUACGUACGUGUAAACGUCUAGGCUGGAGGGCUGCAAAAAUUUAAUUUUCUCGUCAUGAUGUGAUUAAUAUUAUUAAGGUCAAAUUAAAGAGACAUGCAUGAGGUCGUGCGCCCCUCUUAUUGGUCCAUGGAAAAUAUUUUAUUUAGGAAUGAUUAAUUGCACCUAGUUUUAUGUUUUUCUAAAAGUAAAAUAUGCUCGUCCACGUGUGUGUUCUUGUCACGUCGAGAUUCCUAACAAUCCGUACUCCCAAAAAGCGAUCCUCAAUUCUCAGAUUCGUACCGCAAAUUGCUGCUUAAAUAGAAAUUGCUUAGCAGCUGCAUGCAUCUCCGAUAAAUUUGAUAUUUUUCUUUUUUUGUUCUCUUUUAAGGGGGGGUCAAUGCUCCAUCGUAUCUGUUUAAUUACCAUGUCCGUCCAUUUAAUGCCCUAUUUGGAAAUGUCAAAUCUCCGACUAAUUGAAAGAUUAGUUUUCUUGAAUUUGACACUUGGAUUAGUUUGAAAAGAUUUUCGUCGAUUUGAAAUGAUUUGAUAAGACUUCUCAUGAUAAGCCCAACCAUGAUGCCACUAGGAACCCGGCUACUGUGGCAAGUGGAGAUCUUGGGCUUUGGACCACCCUAAUGCGAAAUCCCGACCCGAUCCAAUGUUUGUUAGGCCGGGCCGGGCCGGGCCGGAUCUCAUCGAGUAUGGGCUCUCUUUAAUAUACGCUACGAUUCUCAGUCCUCAAUAUUUUAAGAUUGAGGACGGCCCAUGUACCAGGUCCCUUAGCAUUUUUGUUCUAGGUCCAGAUCUAUGGAACAUAGUAGCAAAUACUAGCUAUGCAAAUAUUCAGAAAAUUUUAUUAAAUAUAUAUAUUACAACUCUUAUAGAAUAUGCGACUGCAUAUAUUUUAUGCCUGGCAAACACGUAUUGUCGUAUUGAGAGGUAGGAGGGAUUUAAUUAAUUAGGUGAUAAACGGUGCAAUUUAACCAACCCUUUUUUAAUGACGCGAAUGUAUCGCGGAUUGGUGUUGUAUGUAGAGAAACAAUAUAUAUUAAUUGUGUUGAAUAUUUAUGACGCCAUACAACUGAGAAGAUUCACAUCACAAAGAUAUAGAAUGCCCCACGUACGUACCUUGUGUUUGAUCUAGCUAUAUAUAUAUAUAUAUAUAUAUNNNNNNNNNNNNNNNNNNNNNNUAUAUAUAUAUAUAUAUAUAUAUAUAUAGUUGCUCACAACAAUCCGAUAAAAAAAAAAACAAAAAAACAAAAAAAAAAAAAACAAAGAAAGAACGAAAGAAAAAAGACGCAUGCAGUAGCUAGCUAGUACUGAAUACAUUCAAACAAAAGCAUAUAGAACAGGACGGACAUCACGUUGCACGCAGCGAGUAAGAACAUAACGUGGGACAUGCAUGAAAAUAAAAUAGAGACUUGCAUGCAUGAUAAAAUGCCUAUGUGCUGCUAGGCUCGGACAUCCCGCGGCGGACCUUCUCAAUAUACUCCUUGGCCUUCCUAUCUACGUCGGGCUUGGCGUACCAGUAAUCGUUGUCGUCAUUGCUCGGCCGCACCUUCCUCUCAUAUUUGCUGUGUUCGGGCUCGGCCUCUUCUUCCACGUACCUCGCCUUCUUGAAUCCAAAUAAGGAAAGCAGAGGCUUCUUUCCUUUACCCAUUAUCGAUCGAUCGAUCGAUCGAUCGAUCUACUCCUUAAUUAAUUUGCUGUAACCACAACGAUUACUAGCUCUCUCUCUCUCUCUCUCUGUCUCUAUGUCUACACUAGCUAGAUGUUGUAUUAAUUGUUUUGCCUGUGAGGAGAAAGGCUAUGGUGCCCACAGAAUUUAUAGCAGAGAGGGUCACUGAGCACUCGAUCGGGGCCGUAGCCUGUCGAUCCUAGCAAUACGAAAGGUUGGUGGAGUUGUUUGAUUUGGUCCGUUGAUGGGAAUCCGGACGGUCAGUACGCGUCAGAUUUGUUUACUCGGGAAUUAGGCAGGUCAUAUAAUUAAUUAACGAGUAAGAGUAGAGAUCACCAGAUCAAUGAUAUGAAAGUAGGAAAGUGCCGAGUUUUUUAAUCCCCUAAUAAUUACUUUUUGACUCUGACCGCUCGCCCUGUCUUCUCAACUAGGCAGGCUUUUUCGGAUUUGAAAUAUGUAGUAUGAUACGGAUCUUCGUACCGUUCCUAUUUUUCCUUGCUUUAUUAAUUAAUUAAUGUAUAGCCACAGGCAUCCCACUAUUAAUUCCGCGUUUUAUUCCUAGGUAACUUGCUCGAUACGGUACAGCAUAUUAUUAUUAUUAUUAUUAUUAUUAUUAUUAUUAUUAUGGGAAAUUAAGCCAUGCAGUUUUUCCACCAUGUGCUACGCGUGUUCUUUUGUGCUUUUUUUCACACAACAAUACUGCACGCACGUACAUAUGUGUUGUAAAUAGGUAAUUAAUGAGCUCUGAUCAAUUUUUAAAUAACAACAAAAUAAAAAAAAAAAGUAGCAAUUAAUCUCUCACUAGUUGCUACCUAUCGAUCCGUUGUUUUCUUUUUUUAAGAAAAAAAAUUUAAAAUCUUCACUGUUUUGAGUGUAUGAUAAAGCUGCUGCAUUUUGGUUAAAACUUGCUCUGGCCUUCCAUGUUGGAGUGAUGAGUCUCUUCGUUAAAAGAUCAGAUGUAGCUAGCUUACAGGAUCGCGCGACUCGAUCUUACAUAAAAGAUUAGAGAAGAACGCUUCUCCUUGGAAACCCUUUUUUCUUUUUUUUUUUUCUUUUUUUUUAAUGAAUAGUCCUAGAACAUGAAAAAUUAAGAUGCGGUCAAAAAGUAAGAGAGAAGAGAUGGGUGCUUUAAUUGUUUGUUAACCGAAAUGAGCUCUGAUUGGCUCCGAAGAGUGCGUUUUCCAAAAGCGCUUCCCCUUCCUCCGGCACGAAAUUGACGUUGCAACCCCACCCACCCAAUUCCGUACCCUUUCCUCGAUCGCGCGCCGUUCAGUCUCGCCAACUUGCAGUAGUAAUUAUUUGCCCUUCUUAAUUAAUUAAUUAAUCUAUCUAUUAGCAUUGCUAUACACGCGUAAUGCUUGCUUCAUCAUUAAGCCGCUUAAUUAUAUUAUUAUUAUUAGAAUAAAAUAUACCAAAGCGUGCUCAUCGGUGUAGAAUAAGUAACGUAAAAGUCCUUGAUUGUUAGGCAAGUCUUUUACACAUGUCGAGCUAGCUAGAACGGGAGAUCGAAGAACAACUUUCGAAGGGAAGGGCGAAAGUUAUCGCGUUCGAGCUCGGGUCCUCUUUUAAUUGUUUAAUGCGUGGCUUAAUUAGUCCAAGGAACUCAUGCUUAAUUCUUUGAGUGAGGAACUCGUGGUAAAAAUACUUGAAAAAAGUUACGCAUCGGAAGCGUUUUGAAAUUGCCGAUUCUGGUUAAUUAAUAAAGUGACGUGCCGUGAAUGGAGAAAGCAGAAUAUUGUAGAUAUAUGCCAAUGCGGAAAGGCUUUCCGCUUUCCCUAUUAAACUUUGUAUUUUCUAGAAAGUAGGAGAGGACUCGGUCGAAGACAAUUAAUUAGAUUAGAUAAACAUUAAAAGGAAUAUCGGUAUCCGGCACAUGAUCAAUGUACCUAAUGCAUGCUAAUUAAUAUACCAUCAACGCGUCCGAUUGUUCCACAUAAUUCCAUUUAUAUACCCAACCCCAAGGUGCAUGCACUAGUAUUAAUUGCAGAGGAGAAAAGAGUGAGCAUUUGUUACUUUCAUUUGUGGUACCUAGCUACUUGAAAGUGAAAAUACACAUCUAUUAUUAUUAUUAUUAUUAUUAUUAUAAUUAUUAUGUGAAUUUGUGAAAAAUAUUCACCUCCAAACUCGCAUAUGUAAUAGAGCUUGAUACAAAGCUAAGGUUAGGAGGAUGACGACACAUAUAAUCCACACAAUAAUAAUAAAGGAAAAGAGGAAAAAGGAAAGAAAAAAAAAAAAAAAACUUGAACGAAUAACUCAAAUAUUUUUUUACUGGAUUUUCCUCUAAAUCUGCCGCAGACAGAAAAAAUUUCUAAAUUAGGAUGGAGUUGAAAUGUUCUAUUAUUAUAAGCUAAAUUACUGUACAGGUCUUCAUAGUUCAUGCACAACGUACGAGGACUGGUUGAGAAACUCCUCGAUGAAGUAGCAAGUCCACCCAGUAUGCGGCAGGGAUGGAGACCGGAAGUAAGCGAGGGAGGAUGGGUCCAUUUACCUCACAGGGCCCAACAGGCCGACAUGCAACGAGGCCCCAGGACGACCCUGAGCCAAGGCCCACAUAAUUGCUCGAGAAACUCAACCAAAAAGAAAGUGGGCCGAACAGGCCCAAGAGGUGGUGCGAGCUUGUCGUUCUGGUAUUGGCAGCCCAACGUACGUUAGUCCGCACGUUGCCCCAACGGUACGGCAGCGAAUAACUUGACCGGCGGAAACGAGCAUCGAGAGGGCAUGCAGUAACCCCAACCCGUAUACAAUCUGAAACAUCCCGUACUGGUUUCCACCUUUUAGGGUCCCUUUUUUUUUUUUUUUUUUUUUUCAGGGUCUGUGUUGUAUGGUUAAACAUCUUGUUAGGCACGUUUUUCUUUCUCUUUUUGUAUGCAACUCAGAAGAUUUUGCAGCAGUGAUAGAUGGAAGUAUGGUUAAAUGUCACAAUUUAGAUAAAUCAUGCCACUGAUGGAAAUUAAAAGAAAAGAAAAAAAAAAACACUACUUCUGUUUCUGAAUCCUUUUGAAUGCUUUAAAAAAGCAUAAGAUGCAAGAUGUUCAUCCAUUUUCUAAAAUCGUGAUUUCAGCAUCAUCCAUUCAUCCUACUUACGAAGCUCCUCUGGUUUUUUUUUUUUUUUACAGUUUUGCUCCUCUGGUCUAUUUUUUUCUUUUUAUCGUUUACAGUUUUGCUAUAUAUAUAUAUAUAUAUAUAAUAUAUAUAUAUAUAUAUAUACAGAGAGAGAAGAGAGAGAAGAGAGAGAGAGAGAGAGAGAGAGAGAGAGAGAGAGGGGGGGGGAGGUGAGGCAAUAAGGGGAAUGGAAACAAAUAACCAAAGAAACCCAAUUAUUGCUCGGACCCUGCCUACUAAUCAGUUUGCAUUAACUCUUUAGGUUGGGUUUGGCAUUUUUACUCCACAAAAUAAUACUAGAAGCUUCCAUCCAACAACUCACCCAGUCACCCGUCUGCAGCCCGUCCCGGCAGCAGUACUAUUUUUCAGCCAAUCAAAUUUAGGCCGUUCCGGCAGCAGUACUAUUUUUUCCUCCUAAAACUUAGCUAUUACAUUAAUUUUUUAAAAAAUAAAAAUUAUUUUAAUUUUUUAUUAAUAUAAAAAUAAUUAAUUUAAAUACAGAUGAUUAAGUAUAAUUAAUUGCCGUAAAAAAAAGAUCACCUUCCAGAUAUGAUGGGAUGGGGAAUGGGAUGACAACACCCUCCGGCCCAAAAGUUAGGACCGGGAACGAGAACAUAGCCCGCCAUUUACGACUUCCACAACCAAAAACAGACGCUACACGACAUAACAAGGCCAUCAUCUCCUGCGCAUCGAGGCUUUCCCCAACCACAGAAAAAAAAAAGAAAAAAGAAAAAAGAAAAAAGAAAAAAACGCUUUCCCAUCCUCCACCGCUCCAAAGUGCCCCUCUUUCUGCGUGCGAGAAGAAAGAAAGAUAGAUAGAUAGAUAGAUGACGACGACCAACUCCCCCUCUUCAAAAUCAAAAGCAUCAUCAUCGACAACAGCAGCAGCGUCUUCGCCUUCUCCGCCAACAGCAGAAAAGGGAGUGGUGGAUAACGCCCUCCACGCACUCGGCUUCGAGUACACCCUCAUCUCACCGGAGAAGGUCAUAGGUCGACUCACGGUCACCCUAACAUGCUGCCAGGUGUCUAAUAUCAAAACACUGCUUCUUCAAUAUUGAAGUAUAAUAAUAAAAAAAUUAAUGAUGAUCGAUCUUCUCACUACAAAGUGAUGUACAAUUAAUAUAUUAAUUCUUCUAGUUUGGCUAAUCAAUUGCUUUUGCAUAAACAUAAACAGCCUUUCAAGGUGCUGAACGGAGGGGUGUCGGCGCUGAUAGCCGAAUCGACGGCGAGUUUGGGGGGGUACGUGGCGUCCGGGUACCGAAGGGUGUUCGGGGUGCAGCUCUCCACCAACCAUAUCAAGCCGGCCAUGCUCGGCGAGCAAGUCGAAGCAGAAGCGACGCCCGUUCGGGUGGGCAGGACCAUCCAGGUAAAUCAUCAUCAUCAUCCAUAUUCUUCAAUUUAUCUCUCGACCGAAUCGAAUCGAACCGAACCGAAUCGAAUCGAUGAAUCACUGACCAUACAAAUGUAGUUCGUAAUUAUCAGAUGAGAGGGGGCAUCAAUAGUAGUAGGCAGAUCGAUGGUACGGAGCGAUAAAAAUCAUCAUCAUGGGGGCAUUAAUUGGGGGUUGGAUAGCACGUACGGUGACACACGCACCACCGCCCGCCACAGCAGUGGAAGGCUGGGACCGAUCGAAUAGAUGGAGAGAUAAAUAAAUAGACAUGGUUUUCUGGCUUUCUGCUAAGCGGUAGCCCGGUAGAUGAUGGGCUGUUGCCUUUGUCAACCAACGAAGCCGGCCGAAAAUUCUUCCACCAUCAAUUCCGACCGGACAAAAUUUGCUUGGGUGGCAAAAUCUCACCUGCAUUGGAAAAAAUAAAAUAAAAAAAAAUUAAAAACUUAAAAUAGUUCUUUUAAUUAUAACAGCUUUGACAUUCUUAGUUAUUUAAUUUUGUAUAAAUUUAUUUUAUUUUUAAUACUGAAACUCAGCCAAGGAUUGUCUAAACCAUUGGUGGAUAUAUAUAUAUAUAUAUAUAUAUAUAAACCUAUUUUAAUUUAAAAUUAAAAAGUGAGUGAAGUGGGUUUUCAUGUCAAGCGGAUGCUGUAAAUCAAUGUAGUUCUAUGGCAUCAUUGUUAACUGAAAAGUCCUUUUGUCUAUUUCUUGUGUACCAAUAAAAUGAUCCGAGUAAUUACUACCAAGCUUGUUCUCUUGCUUCUUUUUAGUGUUAAUCUGUGACUCUCUUCUAACACGACACUUAAUCUGGAAAGGUAUGGGAGGUGCAGAUUCGGAAAAUAGAUCCCUCAACCUCUUCGAGCAAAGUACUUCUGUCAACAUCUCGGGUUGUUCUGUUAAGUAACAUGGAAGCUCCAAAGGAGAUGAAAGAAUACGAAGAGAAAAUCAAGAAGUAUGCAAGGUUGUAAACUAGGAGAAUCGAGUUGACUGGCUGUGAAUGUUCCGACAAAUAUACAAGCAUAAAGGUUGCCCAAAAAGAGUAGAUGCAAACUUUUACACACUCAUGCUCCACUCUCUAUUGUAUGGUUUUACUAUAUCAAAAGCUAUUCAUUUUCAGCAUUGCGAGUCAUGUAACAAAGAGGUGCUCUUUGACAAUAGCCAAUAAUCAUCCACGAAAGUUGAUUCUAACUUCUGUUUCAUCUGGACUUGGGGAACAUUACAGAGUGAAUGGGUGUUAAUGAAGAGUGAAGACUACUGCUGUACUCAUCUGAACUUUCUCUUACUGCCAGCACAGGGCCUAAAAGUUUUCUUCUCCUGCUCUGCUGCUGCCAUACUUAUCAGAAAUUUCUCUUACUGCCAGCAUUUAGCAUAUAGUCAGUACAAUUUAAUGCAUAAUAGGUUUGCUAAGCAUAUAAUUGACAAAAAUAUCAGAUUCAAUCUUUAGUUUGUAGAACGGAUGAUACACACGUUCCAUACCCCAAUUAUCUUACUAAAUGUCGAACGAGACUGAUCCGGAAUGUAAACAUACUAACAAAAAAACUCAAGAUUAGUUUGAGAAAUGCAUUCUGAUGUGGAAAGAAAAAACACUUACAUACUUCAUUUCACUCGAAUAUAGCUGAAAAAUCAGCUUACUAUCGGAUUAUUUCCUCCAUUUGAUCUUGGCUUAUUUUUUCUACCCUUCUUUCCAGAGUGCCUUCCUGCUAUUCUUUGCCUUCAACAUGCGGGAAAAGAAACCGAAUUAUAUGUUAAAUUUUAUAGUCAAAUUAAACACUGCUAAUAGAGAGUAGACUUACCUAAGAUUGUUAAGUUGGCUUGUCAAAUCAUUAAUUUCCAAGCUAGGCAGCUUAAGUGAAAACAAAGUACCGGGCACUUCUUCUGAAACUACUUCUGACAGUUUAUCCGCUGAAACAGCUAACCGUUUGAGAGCCUGGACAUCAAACCAUUGAGUUCACAAAGCAAAUCUUCAGAAUAAGCAACGCGAACAAGGAUAACGUCAAUUCAGAGGAUAUUCGUAUUUCGUACACUCAGGGCUGGCAAUGAGAUGACUGCCAAUGAGAAAAAUGAUCCCAGCACCUGCCAAACAAACCUGAGAUAAGUAGAUAACUAAAUCGGGAUGGUAAUCUUCAACAUACUGCAGGGACCAAAGCCAGAGUUCUAACCAGCACGAUAUACUCGCAAACUUUAAUUAACCAUAACAGCAUAAAAAUAUGACAGUGGGCAGCAGUUUUAAGCUGUUUCACAAUGUAGAUGGAUAAGGAUUCGCUGUUCUAGACUGCGAGAAUCCGUGAGGGGCUCUUGCUUCCUCAUCUUGCUGUUAACUGUUUAGUUACCUUACCUCAUCUUACUGUCAGAGCAAGCACCAACAACACCAUGCUUGCUAUACCGUGGAUUAAUCGGUAACAAAAAUAUAAAGGAACCAACCUAGAAGAGAACCUGUUGUUGUACAUUAUGGCCGAUGCUUUCGACAGCCUCAAAUCCGAAAUAGCAACGCUGAGUAUGAGCAAACCCUGAUACUAACGCAUCAUCAUAAAUGGGUGAGAAAAGGGAGAUGAUUAUUACCACCGAGAGGACGAACAGAAGGGAGACGAGGCCGAUCUCGGAGUCGCUGCGGCGAGACCCUAGAUCAUUCUGGGCGGAGACGGGCGGAGGACACGAGAGCGAGAGGAGCGGCGCGCUCCGGCGUUGCGGCGGAGGCACCGCCGAGCCGCGACGGAGCCCCGGCGAGAACCUGGCGGAGACGGGGGAGUUCGCCGGCCUCGGAGGAGUAGGAGGAGGUGUCGAGGGUGGAGGAGAGGAGAGGACGAGCAUGGUAGCCGACGGCCGAGGAGGCGAGGAUGGGAACGAAGAUUGAAGGAGGAGAAUCGCUCGCCGCCGCUACUGCUGUCCGCGCUCUCUCGCAAAUCAACUGCGCAUUCCCUAUCUCCCGCACUCAACUGCGCGAAUUCGGGGGCCGUGGGUCCACAUGGGCCCGGCCCAAUAUCUCGGAAGAGAAACCGGGGACCUACUCUCUCCGGCCCAGUAUCAGGCCUAGGUCGGUCGUGGACUCUCUCUCUCUCGCUCUCUCUCUCUCUCUCUCUCUCUCGCUAACAAGUUCCCCUCUCGUGGGCUUCCGUGGCGGCUUGGGCCGACAAUUGUAAACACUUUAGGGAAACGCUGUUUGGAAUGAAAUUCCAACAAGAAAUUUUAAUUAAUUUCAGUUCGGAAGAUUUUAUAGUGUCGCAAGAAAUCUCAGAAUAAUUACUAGCUCAGCUCAAAUAACUGGUUUGAAAAAUUAGAAAUUGAAUUUGCCAGAAUAGCAGCGGAUAGCAUUUGCAACGUCGACCAAACCGGCUGCAACGUUCGGCAUCAAAUAUUAAUUACGACAAAGGUUCAGUGGCGGAGAGCUCGCGUCAACGGUGCUUCAUUACAGAGCUCCAGAUUCACUGUUAUUUAUUAAUUUUGACGCCAUCCAAAUAUCUAUUAAAUAUUUUUUAAUACUAAACUUGAAAAGAAAUUCCCUAGAUUCUAGAGGAGAAAAAAUAUAUAUAUAAUAUUUAAAUAAAAAACAGUAUUGACAAAUGGCGUCAACGGGAGCGGAGAAGUCUCAUCGAGCGAGGCAUCAUUAAUUUCCAGUUACGGGACGGCAUCGUGUGCCAGUUGAGUUAAUCUUGUCGGUAUCAUCCUGGAACCAUGCGGCGACCUUUCCACGUAUUCAGAAAAUGCCAUCUUAAUCGGGACAUGUGUAGACAUUGCAAGGGGAACAAGUCCCGACCGGCCUCGGAAAGUUAUUCCAUUUCAGUACUUGUGCACUCAGCUAGCUUGGCUUGUAGGAGUUCCAGCUGCCAUACAUUGAUCAGGUUUCUAUGUAAACAUCUCUCUCUCUCUCUCUCUCUCUCUCUCUCUCUCUCUCUCUCUACUGUGUGUGAAGAUCGAUUGAGUUCCAGUUAAAGGUGAACGUACGGCUGAGACUUCUUUUUCUGUAUUCCUGUAUUGAGUCAAUGAGGACAAAAGUAAACUGGACUAAGGUGCAUGCAUGUCUCCAACAAUUUUAAAGACACUUUGGAAUCUACAAUAGACCCUUUUGCAGCGGGAUAAGAGUUAAGUAGGAGCCGGAAUGAUUGCUUCGUCUAGGAUUGAGACAUCUCGAACGACUUGUAGCUAGCUAGCACACAAACUUACGAACUAAUUAACUGACAAUUUAUAUUUAUUAUUAUAUAUAUAUAUAUAUAUAUAUAAAAGAGAUGAUCGAGAAAUGAAUCGCAAAGUACACUCGCUACGAACCAAUGAAUGGGACAAACGGAGAAGAAGAGGAUAAAUGGAUCUAGGACCCCAUAUAUUCAAUCCAUCCAACCAUCCACCCACCACCUGUUCGAUCCUAGCUAUACUGCAUAUAUCCUACAUGUUUUGGAAGAGGUAAUUAGAAAGCCUUCUUAAGUUUUUAAGGGGUCCUCUAUCCCAUGAAUCGCUUUCGUGGCCUAACCCUAGUCCUAACCCUAUCUACGAUCUACGAGCCUUCUCUUCUAGCAAUAAACACGUGCAUCUCUCUCCCUUGAAAGGAAAAGUAUGUGCGUAUGGUCAUGCGUUAAAGUGUGACACAUGCACCACUCAGAAUGAGGGCCCCUCCUCAAUCCUGUGCCAUUAUUAAUUGAUUCUUUCCCUGCGUGCCUCUUUAUCUCCUCCUUUUCUCCCUCUCCCUUAUUGAGUAGAUUUCACCAUUUUCUUUUUUCACCCCUAUAGCUCUUUUGUCGUAUGCAUGCAUUAAUUUUUAUGAUCUUCGUGUGUAUUCUCAUCAAUUAAUAAAGGUGGUUUUGAUAAGCAUAAUGGUGGCAUUUUUCUCGAUGUCCAAAAAGAAAUGGAUGCAUUAAGCUCAACUAAAGCAACUUCAUGUACUCCUCACUCUCUCUCGUUGGAUCUCAUGUCGAUUUGGCACCCCAUGCAGCAGUUAAGGCGAAUUUGUUUAGAAGAGCCCAAUCUUAAAAGUAAAUAUAUUAUUUUUUAAAAAAAUCAUCAUUGACUAAAUUGAGGAUUUAGCAUACAUAUUCAACACAAGAGUUCUAAAACCUUAAGCUACUAGAAAAUUAUUUUAGUUAUUCAUACUUAACAUUCCAUUAUAUAUAUGUGGGUGGAUUUGGACUACAAGCUUAACAUACGGAUUUUUCUAAACAAAUGAAAGAAAAUCGACAAAACUCGAGAAACACAAUAUUUUAAUAUUUAAAAAAUGAAUCUCAUGCAUACUUUUAUAUCAUGUGAAAAGUUUUCCCUAAAACCUCGUAAGUAUCUCUAGAAAAUGUUGUUUUAAUCAUUGAUCCUCGCCAGGUAAUUAUUUAUUCGGCAAAUUAGUUAACGUGCUAGAGAUCAUUAGAUUAGCCAGUUAGUUAAGCAUACGGACCAUAAUUAUUUAUGCAAUUUUUUUUUUUUUUGAGAAAAAGGUAUCGUGCUACCCGCUUCAUUCAUAUUAUUUAUGCAAUUAUUAAUCGAUAAUUAAUUAAUGCAGAAGCGCACAGGUCGGCUAGAAUUUAAACGAACGAGUACUAUAUAUCUUAACACUUAACAGUGAAUAUAAUUGGCCAUGACUGCCAAAAUGCAUGAUUACUAAUUCAAAUGUGCAACCCCGUUGAUUCAGACCAAGGGAAAACACUUAGAUUAGGACAUAAAUAAAAUUAUUGUUGCUUGUGUGACUUGGACAUAUAAGAAAAUAAUAAGUAGCUUCACAUGUGCGCUGUUUAGUCAAGCGCGCGACUAGGACAUAGAAGAUAUUAUCUCUAUUUGUGCAGCUUGAAAUUAAACACCGAGUCUUCACUGUUUGCUGUUUUUUUUUUUUUUAAGAGAAAUGUAGCAUGCUAUCCGUUUCGUUUAUUUCAUUUGGAAAUAAACUUAGCUAGAAAUGUGAAUCAACUAGGAUUCGAAUUUGGGUCUCGAAUACCAACCAUUGAGCCUUUUUGUCACUUGCGCUAGGGAUAGUCAGUUCACUGUUUGCUGUUAGUAAUGGCAAAUGGCAAUCAGGUAUUUGUUAGAGUUCGAAUAAAGUUGAUAUCAUUUGACUGAAUUCUAAGUAUAUGGCUUAGAACUCUGUCGAUUUGGAGAUGUUUCGUCUUAGUUAUAUGUGCCAAGGCGAUUGACAUUGCCCUAAGUAUAUAUACUUGGAGUUCAUGUGAAUCAAAUCCGACUACCCCUAAUACAUAUACUUAGGGCUUAGUCAGAUCUUCAUUCUAGCACAUAUAACUAGAGUGAAAACAGUAUUCUAGAAAGUUUUUUUUUUUUUGUUCUUUUUCUUUUUGAGGUGUAGUCCAAAGAGAACGUCUCAAAGGAUAGAUGUAAGAGGUUUAAAUGCCUUGAUUUUGAUACAAGCGUCGAUCUAUCUUUAAAUGGAAAAGAAGUACUAGUAAAUCAACGAUUGAGGUUGUAUACAAGGUCGACACAUUGCACCUGCAGCAAGAGUCUAUAUAUAAGAAAACCCUAUAUAUGAAACUUCGUUCAUGAGUUUUUGUGAAUCUGAUGGGCAUGUAAGUUUAAUUGAAACUAUUCUUGAUCGCUGUACUCUUUAAAAUUCAGAAACAACAGGGAUUUCGUGCAGGUAAUCAAAUCACGAAGAUCUAGCUAUUUUAUAGAACAAAAAGGUUCGAAAGCAUGCACGUACUCUUGGCAAUUAAUAAUUACUAUAUAGUUUUAUGAAAAGGAUAAAAUGAACGUCUUAAUUAAUUAAUCAGCUUGUAACGCCCCAGAAAAAAAAAAAAAUCCAAAUUUAUCAUGAAAAGUAUUUUUUGCCAUUUAUUUUAAGCUAAAAAAUGAUUGAAUCCGAAGGUCCUCGAACUAGCUAGGUUCUAGCUAGUAAUUCCUUAUACGGCUAGCAAAUAUUAUUCAAUCCGAUCGAUAGAUUUUUAAUUUGUCUCAAACGUAACCUACACCACCACACUUGACUAUGGCGAGAGAGAGAGAGAGAGAGAGAGAGAGAGAGGGAGACGCAAAGGCUAAGUCAAGCGAGGAUUAAAUAAGGUCGCCAAGAAUUCUUUGAGGAGAUAUUAGAGUUAGAUGGUAACGUAGUGUUGACACAAUCAAGUGGAGACAAAACGUAGCUGUGAGGCAAAGAAUAGCAACCAUUAAUUAAUGGCCAGUAAAGCUGUGGGAAUAAUUAAAUUAAUCAGAGGUCCAUGCAUGAAGCCACUAGCUAGCUAAUUAGCAGCAUAUAUUCAAGCCAAUGGAAAUGAAAGGAAAGAAAAUGUCUCACUUCCAAAAGCAUUCAAAGUCCCACGCUUGGAAAAUUUAGCUAACGCCCUUCUCACGUCCCUUUCCAUGGUCUCCACAACUUCAAAUCCUUGCGAAAAUAUGAGGGGCUUAGUGGGACCGUUGCUUAAUUAAUUUACAUAUAUAAGUACUAUAUAUACCCCAAUUCUUUUCAUUUCAUAGAUAUAUAAUUAAUAUAGCAUUAAUUCCCUUGGUAUAGUAAUAAUAUAAUUACUAGUGUACUAACCCGCGCGAUGCCGCGGAUAAAUGAUAGAAGAAAAUUUAAAAAUAUUAAAGAGUAAGAAGAAAGAAGUUUGGAAAAUAAAAAUUCAAGUGUGUUUUAUUUUUUGGGUAUGGAAACGUAUGAAUUGAACUAACCAAUAUGAUCAUUGAAAAUCGAUAACUACCCAGAAUCAACAUUUAAAAAAAAACCCUACAAAAGUCGAAUGAAGAUGGAGAUAAUAAUGUUGCGAUGAUGACGACGAUGGCGAUAAAAAUCUGAUGAAAAUUUGCAGGAUUUUGCACCCUUUUGGACAUGGAAUGAUCAAAAGUUGCGGGCCAAAACUGCCACAUCAAUUAUGAAAUAAAAAAUAACCUCUAAAUUAAUCAAAAUAAUGCAUAUAAAUUAAAUCCUUGAUUGAUACAAUCACCAUACAAAAAUAAUGCAAAUAAAUUAAAUUCUAAAUGAAUACGUAGUAAGAAUUCGAGAUUAAAAUAAAGAAAAGAAAAAAAUUAGGUUUAGGAUUUUCGUUUUCCAAACUUAAUUACCCCUCGAACCGUCCAUUAUUGCUCUCCAAUUAGCUUCCUCUAUUGAAAAAAUCGUUCGAUUACCUCCUUUUUCCAUAAAUCCGAAAAGAUUAACAUUGAUAGAAACCCUAUAAACACUCUUUUGAUUCGGAGGGGGGGUUCGGGUCGAGUCGGAUUGGCAUGGGUUAGGACUUGGAAGACUCCCUUACUCUUUCCCAAUCUCUAGAUAUAAAAGUAGUAAUUAUUCAUCUUCUCAUUUUUUUAAUUUUGUAUGUAAGAAAUUAUUUGUGGGAGAAGAAAUGACUAAUUUUGAAGAGGAAACGCAUAAAUUAAAAUGCAUAUUGAUUACAUAUCAUUGAAUAGAGAGGAGGGAAGAAGAAAAGCCAAGAAUAAAAAUCAAUUCAAAAAAAAUAAUUUUGAAGAGGAAACGUAUAAAUUAAAAAACACAUUGAUUACAUAUCAUUGAAUAGAGAGGAGGGGAGUGGAAAAGCCAAAAGUAAAAAUGAAUUCAGAAAAAAGAUUAGUGAGGGUUGAGAAAAACUUGCCACGUAGCAAAAUUAUUGAGAAUUCAUAUAGAGUAAUAGAUUACUUGCUUAAUUACACCGAAUAAUGAGGGUUAUAUAUGAUGGUAAAAGCAUAUUUAUUUAAUUUCCUUCUCUUGUUGUGAAGGACUGUUGAUCGGGCACGGAACUGCCCAGUGAUGUCAUAUAUAUAUAUAUGUGUGUGUGUGUGUGUGUGUGUGUGUGUGUGUGUGUGUAAUUAAAGAGUACGUACCACAGUGUCUUUGUAUUUUGUUAUUUACGUAAGCACUACUGAUACUGAUGAGAUGAGUUAAUUAAUUGCUAUUUUCCGCACCAAUUAUCCGGAUUUAAAUCCUUUUGUACACGGGGUGAUCACAGUUAAAAAACUAUAAAUAUACUACUCUCUUAAUUGAAGAGUGAGAUAUAGUGAAGUAAGGAUGUGAGUGGUGGUGUGAGGUGAGGAAGUUUUGUGAGGUGUAGUAAAGUAGUGAAGUGAGUGUGUGGGAUUUGUAAUUUUAUGGGUGUAUUUGAAUGAGAAUUAUUUUGUGUAAUAAAGAGAGUUUCAUUAUUAGCUUGGUACGUCAAUACUCUGCAGUUUUUUCAUUCUCUACUCAGGUAAGAUUCUAUUUCCAGUAUUCAUUUGUCUUAUUUUCCAAAUAAUAAUAAUAAUAAUAAUAAUUCCUAUAGAAAUGAUCAGAAAAUAAAAAAAAAAUAGUGCCUAAGGUUCCAAGGAAUUAAAGUUCUAGACAAUGCACGCAAACGCAAUAAGAAGCGUGAAGAUGAAAAAUCCUGGUCCAAUAUUGAUAGCGCAACCAAAAGAAAAGGGCUGCAUCCAUGUAAAUUUUCUUGUCAUUUUCUCUCUUUUUAUUUUUAUUGGACUUGUGCAUCCAUGCUCUUUCUUUUCAUUCACCAAAUAUAUAUAUAUAUAUAUAUAUAUAUAAUAUAUAUAUCUAUAAAUUUUAUAUUAAAUGAGACUGACUGUCCUUACUGUAAGUGGUAAAAUGAUUGGUUGUUGGUAUCCGAGAUUUAAGUUUGAAUUUUAGUUAUUUUACAUUUCAGCUAAAUUUAUUUCUAAAAAAUAAAUGAGCGGAUAGUAUACCUAUCUUUUCUCAAAAAAAAAAAAAAUAUUGGUUAUUUUUUUAUCGAUAAAAAUGUAUAAUGGUUAUAUUUGAAUAUAGACCAUUUUGAUUCCACCAAUACAAUCUUUUAAAAUUUUGAUUUUUGUACUCAACUUUUUCAGAAUUUGCAUGUUAGAUUUGACUAAUUAAUUUAUGACUCUUCCAACAUAAAAUUUAAACUAAUCAUUUGCUUUAUAAUUUAUAAUUACGUAAUUACUAAAUAUACUAAUUAAAUUUAUAAAGAUAAACGAACAUUUAAAUUUUAAAAUUAAAAAGUCAUUAGUUGACUCGAAUAAAUAAAAUAAAAGAUUAGUAGUAAAAUCACGAUGUUUAAAUUAAGGUUAGGAUGGUUAGAUCAAAUGAGGUGAUAAUUGAGGUGAGUUCUAUAUAUUUGUACCUUUUUAAUAUUUUAACCUAGUUGGAAGAGAAGUGUGAGGAUAUAAACAGCAUGCAAAUAUUAACAAGUUUGUAUAUAUAUAUAUAUAUAUGCAAUGAGUUUUAUAUCUAGCUUGCUAGUCUUGUGACCACCGUUAAUUCAGUUUUCUACAGCAGCUUCUUCAAGGUAUCGACUAUAUUAUAUAUGUAUAUAUCAAGGACCCUUUUCAGACUAUUCAGCACACACAUGCUUAUAUUAAAAGAAAUUAAGAUAGGAGUAAAAUGCUCUUUAUUUUGAAGGGUGAUAGCCAUAGAGAGUACUGCAUGCUAAGGAAUAUAUAGCUAGUUCGAACGUAAAUGUAGAGAUCGAGCUAGGUCCAAACCUGAUCUCCUCUCUCACGAGAAACCACAUGCAUGCAUAUCCAAACCUCUCUCUCUCUCUCUCCUCCUCUCCUCUCUCUUUCUCUCAUUGAAGUAGAUAGCUAGCUAGCUAGCUAGCUAGCUAGAGGGUUGCAAAUAUGGCCAUUGGCCCUUGAAUUCUCGCGAUCCUUCUCUUAGAGUGCCGGCUGGCGGCGCCGCUUUCUUACCAUAUAUAAAUUUCUCUCUAUUUCUUCCUCUCUUUAAUUUGCUUUCGCUUUUUGGCUUCAUUGCUUGACUCCACCACGUCUCGUGUGACUCUUCUAAUGACCAUCUUUAAAUACCAUGCAUUUGGCUCUUUCCUCCUUUUGAAACUACCACACUAGUUGGACACAAAAAGGCUACAUAGCCUUUUCAGACAUACAGGCUUCUGUAUAUAUAUACAAAGGAAGGAUCUUUUCGGGCUCUCCAAUCCAAUCCGAUGGACCAUAUUUAAUUAAUAUCCGAGCAAGCACUACCCACGCAAUCCUUUCGUUCGAGGAAGAGAUGCAAACAAAUGAAGAAGAUCUUGCUGGGACAUUGGCGAUUAAGAUGAUCAGAAUUCAUCACAAUUGUUUGCUGAUAAUCUGGUCAAAUAUAUAGCUAUUCGAAAAAAUAAGUAUAACAUACAUUAAGAUAAUAUAUAUAUAUAUAUAUAUAUAUAUAUAUAUAUAUAUUGUUUUUCCGCCCUUCUGAGGCCUGACUGUUUCACCCUAUAUAGCUAAAUUAAUUUGUUUAAUGAAGAAAGCAGAUAACUUACUACCUCAUUCUCAAAAAAAGAAAUAUAUAUAUAUAUAUCUAUAUAUUUACAUAUUCAAUUUCCGUCUAUGACCAGGUUGAUAAAUCGUUAUCUAGAAACAAGUUGCACGACUUGACGCUUUUUGCAUCUGUAAAUUUUCUUGUGUUCACACGAUCGUUGACGAUAAUCAUGCUAGGAUUUAAAGUCAUAUCUACUCAGUCACUUCCAGAGAGUGAUAAUUUGUAGUUAUGGGAAAAGGAACUGCUCAAAGGUGAUAUGACUGCCGGAUGGCUUUAUUGUUUGCUGUUGUUGUUCUAGAUAUUCUACAGUUAUUUUAUCGUCAUUAUAUAUUUUACUAGAAUUUAUAAAUUUAUCAUGACAUAUCAUGAUAAAUUAUAAUUAAGAGUAUGGUGUGCUUUAUUUCCUAUCUUGUAUUGAUCAGUGCCCGAUCAAUGCACCAACUUCGGUCUUCAUCACCACUCUUUAUAUAUCCAAUGCCAUUCAUUUAGCAUCGGUCCAACGCUUUCUACGAAUUUUCAACUUUGUUCACAUCCUGACCUAAUAGAAGGGUAGAAAGAAGAGGAAAUUGGAUUAUUGCUCGCUUAAGGUCAUGUAGGUGAGACUUUGCAACUUGGAUGUAGAAGUAGAUGCUCUUCAUUAAUCGUGUUGUUGACUCUAUUUGUAUCAUUCACAUGCGAAGCAGGAUAGCGGACCCUCAAUUUCUAUGUCUGUGAUUGCCAACUAUCCUGUAGAAUACUAUUCAAAUAUAAAUGGUCGACCUAUAUAUAGAGAGCGAAUAGCCAAUAAUUGACAUGCGUAUAACUAAAAUAGCUGGGCAGGAAAUAUGUUUUUUUUUUUUUUUUUUUUUUUUUUGAGAGAUAGGUAGCACGCUACCGCUUCGUUUAUUUCAUUUAGAAAUAAACUUAGCUGAAAAUAUGAAUCAACUAGGAUUCGAAUUUGGGUCUCCGGUACCAACCACCAAGUCCUUUGCCACUUGCUCUAGGGACGGUCGGUGGAAAUAUGUAUUUGUUAAUUCAGUGAUCUCGGUGAGCAAGAAACAUUAACAAGAAACUAAUAGGUGCCCUCGAUCCCGUUUUCUUCCCAUAUAUAUUGUUUUCAACAUCUUUCUCCAUCAAGAGUGGGUGGAUAAUCUUAGUUUAAUUAUGUGGUUAUGGGUAUCAUAUUAUAGUUCACACAAUAACAGUACAUAUCCAUGUUCGUGCACGUUGGGUAGCGUGCUGCCUUUUUCUCAAAAAACGUUCGUGCACGCUUAGGAAUGUCAAAAAAUGGGACCGUUUAUUAUACAAUCAUUCUAGAAGAUCAUCCCCUCAUCAUAUUUUAAUCUUUUGUGACUUGGUCCAUAUUGGUUUCUAGCAAUAAGUUGUACUACUCUAUUAGUACACUUGCUACGCAAUGCAGUGCUUCUUAUAUUUCAUGCAAUAAAAGGUUUUAAUAGAUCUGCAUGUGAACUAAUUAUCUAGAUUGAUAUUUUAACUUAAAAAAAUUUCAGGAGUACAUGUUCCGGCCAGUUUUACUAUAUAGUUGCUUAUAUGUUAGCUCCCAAAUUUGGAUUAUUGGGACCUAGGUAUGUAAAGGGGAUACAAUAUUAGGUCCUAUAAAUACUUUCCUUUUUUUUAUUAUACGGCACAAGGUGAUUACUUGCCUAAUUGAUAAAUGGGAUUGAAAAAAAAGGGUACAGAAUGAUAGAAUUUGAUCAGCGAAGAACAUAAUUAUUUUCGCUAAUAAUUCCGAAGGAAAGAAUCGAGCCAUCAAAGAACUUGAUUAACUACAACACUAAGUUGUUUAAUUAAGGAAUCGACAAAUUCAACCGAUAAUUUAAUUAGGAUCAUCGAGAUAGUUUACCUAUCCAUAUGUAUAUGCCCUUGUUUAAGCCUGACAUCAACAUGAAGUUGGAGGUUAUCUAAAGGUCUUCCUAAAAUACUUUUUUUUUUUCUUCUGUGAAAUGGAGGUGAAAUUAAUGUAUAUAAGAAAACAACAUGUGCCGUGUAGACUCCAACGUCUUGGGAUUUUCUCAUUUAGAAAAGAAACUUCAGCUUCAUAUCAACGUCAUAAAUUAUCAUUAGAAGAAAUGAAAAUUGUCGAUGCUUGCUAGCUAGAAGCCACCCUCAGGAAGAAAAAAAAAAAAACCCAGCUCGAUAUAUAGAACAAACGAACAAAACAGCAGCUUUAAAUGUUAUUAGGACCAUACGAUUAUAUAUCUUUUUUAUUAACUAAUAGCAAUAGCUCUCCACAGUUGUCAAGAUAUAAAUGAAGAAAGCUGCAUAUGUAUAAACAUUUUUUUUAAGGUGCUUAUUUAAUAAUUACCAACUGAUCCUAAUUCGGAAGAAGCAGCUCGGUUACGUACAUCUGAAGACAACGUUAAUUGUAUUUGUUAAGAUCACUUAUUCAGUUGAAAAAAAGGAUUUGAGUCUUCAUAUUUCCCGAGAGAUUCGUUGAUUUAUGCAUGUAAUAUAUAUAUUCUUAAUUACUACAUAAAUUAAUUAAGGCAUUAGAUACGUAUGUAGAGGGAGAUGGUAAGAGAGAGAGAGAGAGAGAGGGGGAGGGACUAGGGGGGGAGCGGUAACUUAAUUUGUCGAAAAAUGAGGGGCAAAAUGAAGAAGCCCGGGUUGGAUUGAUCCUAUUAAGCCAGCCGUGUAUGGCCUCAGACUCGCCGAUGACGUGUCCCCAUCAGGUGACGCGCCACUGCCCCGGGAGUCAAUAGGGAUUAGGUGCGCCCCUCGCGGGCCCCACCACACCCUAACUACCGUUGACCUAAUUGACCCCACACGUGCAAAAAAACCCGGAUCGGAUCGGCAUCCGGGACCCGGUAUUGCUCAGCGCUGGGGCGCGCGCGGGGCAGCUGUGAGUUAACGGCGUCUCCCUAACGACCCGCGCCCGGACGCCUCUACGACGGCGACAGCUGUCACGCCGACGUCAAAUAUGGCGUCACCGGCUUUGGCCCACCGAUAAUAGCGCCAGGUCCACACCUUUAAUUGGCCCUAGCCCGUCUUACGCGCGAAGACCCCAACAAUCACACUCUUUCUCAAUUUUCUUUUUUUCUUUUUUUUCUAGAAAAAAAAUUUUCGUUUUUUUUUGGGGCCCCUUUCGCCCUUGUCUUAUCUAAAUAUCUCUCGAUCUUUAUAUUUUUCUUACAGUUUUCCUUAUCCUCCUUUUGAGUUACUUGCACCCCUUGGACACUCCAUUUCACCCCCUCCCCCUUCCUCCUAGCUCGCUACUACUCUUUCUCCUCAAUGGAGAGGUGCAAGGAAAUGAUACUCUUGCACUCAGGCAGAUUCUCGCGCCGUGAUUCCCACGGCGGCGGUGACGAUGUCGAUCGGGCGUGCAACAAGAUCAAGGAGGUGGAUUUCUUCUCGGAGAGUCGCGAGAGGAAGCUUGAUGAAGCCGGUGGAUUACGAGACUGCCGUGGAGGAGAUGGCUCGUUGGCUUGCGGCGACGCCGGCGACAUUAACGUAAGUGUAUCGAGUUACAUAUAUGUAGGGGCCUUCGCUAGCUUAAUCAUCUCAUGCGAUUCGAUCUUAACUAGUCUUACCUAGCAUGUAAAGUGAUUUGCGUCCUUAAUUUGUUCAAAUUAAAGAGACUUCUCUAUGCAUGUGUACUACCUUCUACUAGAAAUUAAAUAAUCACUUACAAAAAAAGUAUUAAGCAAUUUGAUAAUCAAAUUCAAGUUGAUGGCGGCAGAUCUUUUUUGUCAUAUAUAUACAGACUGGUUUGGCCCUUACCGUGCACUCCGUGGGCGCUCCGACAGCUGAAGAGGAGGAGGACAAACCGAACAACAAGGUACAUAUUAAUUUUCAGAGCUCUUUUUAUUGAUAUGUUCCAUAAAUUAUAAGUUAUUCCCUUAAUAAUUUCAUGAAUUAAUUUGUUAUGUACAUAAUAGAUGCAUCUGAUUACAAUUCAAGAUGAGCUAAAUCGAUUAGGGCAUGAGAAUCGGAGACUGAGAGGCAUGCUGGAUCAGCUCACCAGAAAUUACAGCGCCCUAUACAAUCAGUUUCUUCUGGUGAUGCAACAGAAAGCAAACGAGACCCAGCAUAUACAAGUAUAUAGUCCCUUCAAUUUCUAUCCCACCUUUUCCUUUUUACCAAUUAUUCAUUUAAAUUUAUCAAUCUAAUUUUGACUUAACAAAUACUGAAUUUUCCUUUUGAAUAUUAUCUUUUGUUACUGAGGUAUGCACACUAUUUAUGAGCCGUAUUUAUCUUUAAGAAUCUUAAAUGCUUUGACUCUAGGAGGCGAGAAGCUUUCCAUACCGUGAGACAUAUAUAAUUAAGAUAGAGUGCAACUUCUUGUCAUGCUAUAGUCUAUGUGUGCCCACAAUGUUUUACUCUUUCACCUGGGGAAUACUUUUUGUACAAAAAAGAAGGUAUGCUCCAUGUUGUCGAGAAAAACAUGAUUUGGGCAAUAAGCUAGCUAUUUUAGGCGCAAUUUUAGCUGACAUGGCGAGAAAGUGCCGUGCGAACUAUAUAUAGAGCAUAAUGUAUAUGAUCAUGGUUGAACAUAAGCAUUGUCGCACUAGAUCUUUCGUUCCGCGGGUGAACUUUGUCCGAAUAGAACUAUCAGAAAUUAAUAUUUCUCCUUCCAAUUCUCGGCCAGUCUGUUCCGGUAGUGGUGGAUAUCUGAUGAAAUACUUCUACACCGGAAAAUCAUAUAACGAAAAACAUUGUUCAUUAAUUCUUCUCUAUUUUCUUUGAUAGUGAUGUUCUCUCUUGCUUGAGUUAAUCGUUUGUACUAAAUAGAAUCAAUAUAUAUGUAUCGGAUUCUCAGAAGGAAAACCAAACUGACCCAUCCAAUCCGGUGAGAUUAUCGGCUCAACAAUUUUUGGAUCCUCGCCCAACAAGCUUGCAAGAAACCAAUGAGCAUACAAACGGUGAUGAAGAAGAGCACUCUCCUUCUUUGAAGAACAGCUCGGAUGGCCCCUCGGAAAGAGAAAUUAAUAUUCCUUUCAACAGGAGGAAAAUAUCUGUAGAGGAAGGUCCCCUUGAUCAGCAAAUCUCACCGAGCUGGCGGGAUAACAAUAGCCCUAGGCAGGCACAAGAGAGAAGCACUGAUUCAAUGCAUGAGCUUCCAUGCCGCAAAGCAAGAGUUUCUGUCCGUGCUCGAUCUGAUGCACCCAUGGUACGCUGCACAAUGAAAUGAUCUUCUCAGAUUUUCUAUUUUCUUUUCUUUUCCCCCUCCCCCCUUUGUUACAUCUAGAAGUAUCUGAUUAGAUUGGUUAAUUUGAUGCUCAUAAUAAGUGUUAAUUUAGAGUUUUUUUUUCUUUAAAAAAAAACUUUGUGUCAAUUGUAGAUCAGUGAUGGAUGUCAAUGGAGGAAGUAUGGUCAGAAGAUGGCGAAGGGUAAUCCUUGUCCGCGAGCUUAUUAUCGUUGCACCAUGGCUAUUGGAUGCCCAGUUCGCAAGCAGGUGCUUAUGCCGUUAAAUAUAGUCUUUCAAUUGAGCAUACCAACAUCGAUCAUGAUUUGAUAUUCUAUAACCACUGUGCAUAUAUAAAUCGACCCUCCAAAACUUUAUCUAUAUAUUCAUCCAACGAUUCAUUGAGGUUUUGCAUUCCAAGUGGCUAGCUAGAUUAAUUUUGUUGUAAUUAAGGCUAUCAGAGUUACAUAUAAGUGUAAUUAAUUUGCAAAAUUAUGCUGCAGUAGUUGGAGGCACAUAUUCCGUCACUUAUGACGGUAAGAAAUGUUCAUAUAUAGUAUUACAUAGCAGGCCAUGAAUGUUAAUUAGUUUUAUGAUCAUAUAUUUUUGGAGAAUCUUAAAGUUUGUGUCUCUGUGAUGAAUCUUCAUUUAGUACAUGAUUCACUUCCUGCGGUACUUUAAAUUACAGCCUUAUGCGACGUCUUUUAAUAAAGCUCAAAAGUAUUGCAGGAUCAGUUUUUAGCGUGUCGGGAGAUUUUAGAACACCUUUUGGUUUGUACAUAUACUAUAUUAAGCUCAAAGAGGACAAGAAAACCUUGUUUAUUUUGCACUUCGAAAGCAUUUACACAAUAAGAACCGACGAAUGUGAUCGCUCUCGAAUGCGUUGCUGGCUACAUGCACUCUCCAUCACUCCUUCGAUCGGUAACUCCUUCUGUAUUCAACCACAUCGCUAUGACGCGCACAUUUUCUAUUGCUUUUCUUGCAUGCAAGAGAUAGUGAUUCUUCACCUACCCAUUCGCUUCCGUGCGCACCAUGCAUGCUUAGUUUGGGAGUUGCAUCACCACCUCACCUCACCUCACCUCACCUUUCCUCGUGGCUAAUUAUACUUACUUAAUUUAUGUGGCUUAAUUAAUUGCUUGGGUCCAUGCAACAGGUGCAGCGAUGCGCGGAGGACAAGACCGUGCUGGUGACCACCUACGAGGGCAACCACAACCACCCGCUCCCUCCCGCCGCCGCCGCAAUGGCCAACACCACCUCCGCCGCCGCCACCAUGCUCCUCUCUGGCACUGCCAACACCACGAGAGACUCCUCCCUGAUGAUGGGCUCUGCUUCCGCCGCCGCACCGCUAUUCGGCCACCCGCUGGUCCCCUUCGCUUCCUCCCUCGCCACACUCUCCGCGUCGGCGCCCUUCCCCACCAUCACCCUCGACCUCACCCAGGCCCCCCUUCCGCCUGCUGCAGGGACCCCCCUCCACCUCCUCCAGAGGGGGGCCUCACACGGCCACCACCCCACAACCUCAUCCUUCCCCCUUGCUCCGCUUUCCAUGUACCUCCCUCAUGCCAAGGUGGGGCAGCGUCACCACUCCGUGGCUGAGACGGUCAGCGCCGCGAUCACAUCGGACCCCAACUUCACAGCCGCGCUGGCUGCGGCCAUAUCGUCCAUUAUGGGAGCGCCGCGCGGCGACGGCGCUGCUAACAACGGUUCCGCAGCUGCGCCCCACGGAGUCCCGGGAUCGCCUCAGUUCCCGCAGUCGUGCACCACCUUCUCUACUAAUUAGCUAGCGAGAGAUCGACCGAGAGUUACUCUUCAGUUGGAUUGCAUGUUUCGCGCGCGGUGGUUGCAGCGAACGCAAAAGGAGAGCUGGUCUGAGUCCGUGUACAUGAUCUUCCUUAUACGUACAGAGCUUGCUAAAUAAGUUGAUAUUGUAAAUUAAUUAAUUACUAGUGCAUGACAAGGGGAAAGAGGAAAGAGAGAGAGAGAGAUAGCUUUCAUGGAACGAACACAGUGAUGAGUGAGCAAGUGUUACGGCCGGAGAUGUAGAGAUCAGAUUGAGAGAGAGAGAGAGAGAGAGAGAGAGAGAGAGAGAGAGGCCUCAUAAAACGACUGAGCUAGUCGAGCUUAGCUUAUAGCUCUGAUACAGUAAUUAAUACGGCAUGUGUUUAAUGAAGGAGCCAAAUCGAAUUUGAGCUUAUAUAUAUAUCAUGCUUGUUCGUGCCAUUACUUGUGAAUUGGUUUUAUUUAAUUAUAUAGUGUGAAAAUACGAAUCAAUUAAGCAGAUACAAGUACGUCGCAAGGACAGAUAUAAGAUCUAGCAAUUAAUUUAUAAAAUGCUAUAUUUCAUGUCAUUUUGAUGAGGCACUAGAAACUUCAAAGUUUAAAUUUAAUUAAUUAAGUCACGGUCGCGAGUGUGCAUACAAUUCAAUAAAAAGAUUAUAUUGUGCAAAAAUAAUAGUUCAUUGUUUUUUUUUUUUUUUAAGGAGCCUAAGUUGUCGCUAAAUGAUGUUAUAGUUUAAUUUGUAUUUAUAUGUGAUGGCCGGUUGUCAAACUUAAUUUUUUAGGGAAUGAUGUUUUAAUGUUUUAUGCAUUCAAUAUUCUCUCUUGCGCAUGGACUCGAGAUUUUUAUAUAUAUGCUCAAGAUGCAUAUUUAAAUUAUGUGCAAAAGAAAUAAUGAAUCCAACCGCACUUGAUCUCAAAAUAUCCUCCUUUGGAUGCUACGUGCAAUAUGCUCAGAAAAUAAAAAAAAUAAAACGAUAAUGUGUUUCCAAUUAACUAAAAGGCAGUACUACUAUAUAUUUGAUCCCUGAUCGACCGGUUUUUGAUCCACCCAAGAUCGCUUUAGCUUUUUAAGGCUACACUUAAAACAUCAGGUAAUCAACAUCUAGACAAUGUUCUAUAAAUUAAAGUUCUGUUUAAUGCUGAGGUAAAAAAAAAGGGGCAAAAGUGUAUUAUAGAGAUGUAUUUCUUCACUGUUUUUUUUUGAAUGAGACUACAGAAAUUACACCACCUGAAAUGACUCAUUGAGAUAUGUGCAGCAUAAUAUAUAUAUAUAUAUAAAAUAAAUAAAAAUAUAAUUUUGCUAUAUUUUGUUACUGUAUGUAUAAUGCAACUUCAUUUAAUUCCAAUGAUGAUUAGGACUUAACUUUUUGGUGGUUUAUGGAUCAAGGAAUCAAGUCACUUUAAUCUGACCUGUCCGGCCUGUUUUUAUAAGGCACGGCCCAUAUCAUUCAUUGUAGACUAAAGGUCAAAGAGGUCAGGAGGGGGCCCGAAGUUUCAAUUUGUUCGGGCCGACCCAGCAUUAUGUGAUGAUAUUUGGGAUAGUCGCCAAAGGCCAUUUAAGUGGGAAGUCGACACUUGACUUGACACCCCCGCACGGUUCAAAAAAACCAGCGAGUGUCGUGAGGUUGCGGGGAGUGCCUUCACCGCGAAGAGAAGAGACCUCUCCGGCUUUCCCUUUUGUUUCGACCUCCACCGCGAAGAAACCUCUCCCGCUUUCCCUUUUGUUUGGACCCCUCCACCACAGCCACCUCCCUCCCACAUUCAUUCUCUUUUCCUUUCGAUAACAACGGAUCAAAAAAGAGAGAGCACUAAUAAUGUCUAAUAAUAAUAAGAGUAAUGAUACUCAUAUAUACUCAUAAAUAAAGCUUGAAAAAAGAAAGAGAAGAAGAAGAUUCGUCGAUGAUGGGGGAGGAGGACGACGACUGGGGCUUGAGCGCGGAGCAACUGGACUUCUUGGAGGAGGACGCCAUCCGGAAGAUCUCCCAGCGCAAGUCCGCCUCCGCCUCCGCCUCCGCCUCCGUUCCCGACAACUCCGACCGCUAUCGCAAUGUAAACGAACGAACGAACGACCGACCGAUCGAUCGAUUCCUCCUUGCUUUUAUCCAUUCCGCGCUCACUAGCUAGCUACCACAGUUCUUUAGGUGUAGGUUUAGGUUUAGGUUUAGGUUUUCCUCUAGCUAUUGGUUCUUUUCUUAGCAGAUUUAUACGUAACUUUUGCUUGAACUUCCGUUUUUGGGCAUCUAGAUCACAUUCCACACCCAUUUGAAGAACAAUUCAUUUCUGCUUCUUUUUGUGUGUGCGUGUGCGUGUGUUCUGUUUAGUUGUCGGAGGAAUUGUGUUGCAUUUGUAAAUGGGGGCAAAUUUUAGAGUUCACGCCGAACGCGUUGCCGGUGGACUUUCUUCUAGUUCAUUUGCUAGAAUGGACCUGUCGGCAAUAUAUUCUUUCGUUCGAAGUGGAUUGUAUAUUAAUUUAAUGGUUUCUCUGUUGCGAUUGUACAUUAAUUUAAUGGAUUGUACAUUAACAUAACAAGCGCUGUAACCACCAAUUUUUAUCACAUCACGACCGAUGUCUUGCUAUAGUUGUAAUUCCAACCAAGAGCCUCAGUUAAGAUUUGCAUAUGUUCUUUGUAGCCUAUGCAUUCAUCCUGAUACCUUUUCUGCAACUUAGGCUGAAGCUUUUUCUCCUACGCAAUUGAGUCAACCGAACGUACUAAGAGAAACUGGUACAUGUCUGACUGUUCUCUAUAUAUAUCUAUAUAUAUCUAUAUCUAUAUAUAUUUCGUGUUCAUUUCUGUUAUUUUUAUUAUUUUCUUGAUACUCGAUGACUUUGUCUCGAAUGUGACUGUUUUUUGUUUGUGAUCCAAAGAGAAGAAUUGGACAAACGACUUGCCAAAGCUUUCCGUGAGUCUUUUUCUUCAUCACAGCGGCAUGGUCGCUGCGAAGUUUCCUUACAGCCCGGUACUAAAUAAGCUCAUACUAGCACCUCGGAAAAUUUUCUCUCUAUUUUACACCUGUUUAUAGGUUACUCUUUUUCAAUUAUCCAGAUGCUUGUGGAUGCUUUUCAUAAGAUUCCAAAAGCAACCUGGAAUGGAAGAGAAAGGUGAUCGCACAUUGUGAAGCUUUUUGCAUGCGUCUAGAUUUAAUGAAGUGUUAACUAUUUUCUUAACAUCCUUAGGUUUAAUGAAGUGUUAACUAUUUUCUUAACAUCCUUAGGGUGUGGAUAUUUCCUCCGUCAUCCUUGGAAAAAGCCGAAGAAGUUCUUAGUGCAGUGCCUGGUGCAGCUGUUGAGGUGAUUAUUUUUUUUUUUAUACAUGUUGCUUCUUAGUAGAGAAUAUCUGUGGUAUUGUUGUGUUGUCAUCAUAGCUCAUUUAAAUUAGACAGCAUUGAAACUGGAAACAUUUCUUUGCCAUGAUGUUUACUGGUUUAUGCUUAUAAGUUUCGGAUGAAAAAAAAAAACUGCAGGAAAAUGCAGUACAAUGAAGCUUAUUAAAAUAAUAAUUAUUGUUGAAAUCUUCAUAAUUAGCUUGCAUGAGCAUGCUUGCCAACCAGGUGCACAAGUUAGACCCUCUCGUCCGGCGUGCUCUUGUUGCAGCGUCUGCUGUUCCGGAUCUUCAAGGUAAAAACAAAUUGUUUACGAUCCACAAUAAUUUUGUUGAGUCACUUUUUUUUUUUUUUCCCCUUUCUAGUGGCAGCUUUUUUCCUAAUGCUUUGAUUGUUAUUGACAUCUCCAAGAACUAAACAAAUAUUUUGGUUCUCGAGGAAAUUAAAGUGUGACAUUACCUUUUCUGGUUUUGUUCGUUAUAAUUCAUAUCUAUUAUCCUUUUUAAUAAAUCAUAACUUGUUUGCAUUGGCUAUAGAUGUUUCGACAUCGGACCUGUUGGUGAAUUUGUUUGUUGACUACAUUGCUUUAAUGAAUCUAAUAUGUAGAUUGAAAUAUAAGAUCUAGAAUUUAAAACAUUUCAGAAUGAGUACUAAAGUAGGCCAAAAACAGAUUGCGUGUGUGUAAAUUUUAGUCAAUCAGAACAGCAGGAUGGAGAAGGAAUCUGUUGUUUAUUUUCUUGGUUCUGUUCUUUCGUAAGGGGAGGAAAUUGAUGAGGACUUUCUUGUACAGCAUUUGAGUAGGAUGGUUGUAAUGGACAUAUGCCUUCAGUAUGCUUUGCUUUGCGUUUUAUUGAUGUCCAUAAAUGCCUUAAAAUACAGGGUUUAGUCAAAGCUGUAUGAGUCAAAAUAUUGCGUCAUUAGGAAAUAAGAUCUCCACAAAAUUGCCUGUAACUCGAUGAGAAUAUUGGGGUGACUAAGAAAGCUGAAAAUAGAAUAUGAUUGUUUCUAACACAAAUUCGGUAUCGCACUUAUGGAAGGCUAGGAUCUGCACAGCUGACAUGAAAUAAUUAGGGGUUGGGGCUAUAGGGUAUAGGCUUAGUUCUUGUUUUUUAAAAAAAAAUGUAAUUCAUAACUUUAUUCUUACUUUAUGUUCAAGGGUAUUCUUGAUGGAUAAUAGAUGGAUAAUGAUUCCUGUUAGGAGUGUAGAGUGAAUUUAAGGACAAAUAUUGAAAUCAAUAUUGAAAUUUCAGUUGUCAAAAUGCAUGUUCUGUUAGUAUUGAUGGCCUGUGCUUAUUCAUGAGAUAAGCUGGUAGCUUCAUUCUCAUUUUCUUUUGCGAUAUCACUAGAAAUCAACCUUAUCGAUUAACUGGUAGAAAAUUGUCGUAAAAAGUUAUAUUUUGUUUUAAAGUAAAUUGUUUUCUGUUUUUUUACUUUAGUUUAUUAUCAUUAUUUUUGAUGAUCAUGCAAAAGUCACGAUUGUAUGUUUCACAAUUUGUUGAAUGCGGAUAUAGUGUAACACUUGUCAAUUUGUUCGCGUACUAUCUUCAUUUUAUUUAGUUUUAUGCAUUUCCUCUAAGUGUACUAACUUUCGGUCUUAUGAGAAGAUUUAUAUGAUAGGAUGCCGAGCUACAUUGAGUCAAGACUUCUGCCAUUUCAGCGAGAAGGAGUUAGGUAAGAUCAUGCAAAUUUACUGGCAACGGAAAUUUACUAGUGACUUUGUGGUUCAGGUGUCACUUUAGGCAAGGUGUAGGUUGUUUGAAUAUGUUUUCAUGAGGCAUAAACUAUAACAAAAUACUAUAGUUGUAACUUCAAUUUUCUUUGGCCCAAAAGAAACUUGACAACGUACAAAACUGAAGUGCACGUCAAUUUAUUUAGAUGAUGAGGAAUUUGAGGCAUUCAUGUUACUUGAUAGGUUGAACCUUGUCCGUCAUUCAUGAAUCAUGAUAACAUGAUACCUGUGAUUUUGGUGCAUAUCUGCUAUUAUUUGUCUCAAGUGUCUUUGUUUUUUACAUUCUUAUGUUCAACUCCAUUUUUCAUCUUUUUAGGUUUGUAUUGCAGCAUGGUGGACGGGUCCUCGUAGCAGAUGAAAUGGGUCUUGGAAAGACAUUGCAGGCAUGUUGUUAUGGCCCUAAAUUCUUAUGAGGCUUUUGAUGUCUUCAUAUGCAAACUACUCUUUUUUAUUAGGUUAAUCAUAAGUUAAAUCAUCUAAAUUGUUAUGCUUCUCGAUUUUCUCUCUAUUUAAGUUUUGUGAGAUGUUGUUGUUAAGUGUAUCAUUGGAAGUUUUUUGCUAUUAUCUGUAAAAUGUUUUUGAUGAUAUCGUGAAGUGGAUGUUCGGUUUUUACAGGCAAUUGCUGUUGCUGCCUGCUUUCCUGACGCUUGGCCUGUUCUUGUUAUAACCCCAUCUUCCUUGCGCUUGCAUUGGGCUUCUGUAAGUAAUUACAUGCCACCCUUCUUAUAGAAGCUUCAAAACUAUAUUAUGGGUUGAAAGAAGCUUUUAUGAAAAAUUAUAUAUAUAUUUUUUACUUUUUGGCAGAUGGUUCAAGAGUGGCUUAAUCUCCCUUCAACGGAUAUUCUGGCAUGUCUUCUACGCUUUCUUCUUUUGGACUAUUAAAUUGUGAAUUUUCAUUUCUUAUGUUCAUCAAGGUUAAACAGCAUUAUAUUGCUUUUCUACAUUUGAUGAUUAAGAAAGAAUAAAUUUUUUUUUUGUAUCUCUUUAUUAUCAUGCAUCUCUAUUUUGUAUAUGGUUUGAUCUCAUUCCAACCUACAUAAUUGAGUCAGUCUCUGCAUGUUUAAACUAAAUUUGCACUUGGAUGUUGCUAUAUUUUAGCGAAACCUCUGUUCUGAUUGUACCUAUGUUUAUUAAUUUGUUGGUUUGAUAGAAGUGGACGCUAGAUGAUAAAAAAAAUAUGUUGACAAAAAUAUUUUUGUCUUGCCAUCUAUCAUGCAUUGAUGCAGGUGCUUACUAAUUCGUGACUUAGGAGUAUGUAGUAAAUUGCCAAUGAGCAGUCUUGUGGUUGCAGGUAGUAUUAUCUCAAUCUGGAGGAUCAAACAAGGCAGGUUUCAAGGUUGUCUACUCGAAUUCCAAGCCAAAAAUUCAUCUAGAUGGUGUAUUCAAUAUAAUUUCUUAUGAUGUGAUUCCUAAGAUACAAGAUAUACUUUUGAACUCAGAGUUCAAGGUAAAAAUCUUGUUUGCAAGCAAUUGUUAUUUAUGCCGUUCUCCUUUCCUUUUUCCUUUAAAAAAACAGGCCCAAGAUCGCUCCUUUGUCAGUCACUUGACUCACUUCCUCAGGUUUUUCUUUCAGAUUGUAGUUGCAGAUGAGUCACACUUUCUGAAGAACCCUCAAGCAAAGAGAACAAAUGCUUCACUUCCAGUUCUGCAGGUUCGGUAUUUCUGACAGAAACAAUAACAUGAAGAAGUUCAUCAACUGAUAUGUUUGUAUCCUCUGAUAACAUUGGCAUAACCAUUGGGAUUAAACUCGUGUACGGGGCAUCAUUUUAUUUCUUCACUUUAAGCGCAAGCUUCAAUGUUAGUUCGGGAUUUUCCAAAUUCUUUUCAUACUACAGAUAUAAUAUCGUGCUUCUAGGUUGACUUUUCUUAAAUGUCUUUUCUAAUUUCCAAAUUAGAAUGAGAUUUGAGUUUUUAGUUAAUAACUAGUAGAUUCUGUUGACAUUUGUUUUUCCUUUUCCGUUACUGCAUUUAUUUAACAAGGCCCUAGGGCGACCGUUUGACCUUCUCAAGAGAAGUUAUGUUCCUUUUCUUUUCCUUCGUGUUUUUUUUGUUUUUUGUUCUUUGUUUUUGUUUUGUGGGCCUGUGGCUUGGUUAAUCUCUUGCUUGCAAUCUGCUUGAAUGCCUAGAAACUCAAGGUUAAGGCUACUCAAGGUGACUAAUAUACUGCCUAGAGCGAUUUGUAUGAAGCCACUUCUUGGGUACGAUUUUAAGCCUAAAGUGAGAGCUGUGAUCUUAAAUUUUUAUAAUUUCCUCACAUAACGCGAAAAAUAUAUUUACUUUCUUUUCAUCAUAUUAGUAUACAUGAACGAAGUCACUAAAAUCUUUGGGUAAGAUUUCUCAUCAUCUCAUGAUACAAUAGCGGACUAAUCAUUAAGUAUGACAUAUGAUGUAAUAUCUUUUAAUGUAGAUUAGAUAGCGCAGCAGGGUUAGAAAUUGAAAGGGAGUAAGAAUAGGGAAGAGCUGGCCGGUCCAGAGGGCAAAAAGAGGAAAGAGAAAUUUAGGUGACUCCUAAUGACAUAACUAACUUCCAUUCAAUAAUCAACCUGUUACAAAGUGACACUCUUGGGCUUAUUUAAAGGUUGCAUCAUCCUGAUAUUUUCAGUCUUUUUAAGAUCCUCUUGGCAUUUUGUGCUUCUCCUGGGAAUUUCUGUUUUGAUACUUCUACAGCAUACUGGCCUCAUCUAGUUUAUAUUUAGUGAACCUCUUUUUUCACUGAUAUCUAUUAGUUAAACUAUAAGAGUAAGAAAAGUGUCCUUAAUUUUAUUACAGAAAGCCCGUUAUGUAAUUUUGCUGAGUGGAACUCCUGCUUUGUCCCGGCCUAUUGAGUUGUUCAAGCAGGUAUAUUCUUACCCCAUGCUUGUGAUAAAUUUACUGUUGUCUUCAACAUCUUGCAUUUUAGCAUCAGAUAUUAUUUUUAAGUUUAUGUGAAAAAAUUCAGCUUGAGGCAUUGUAUCCUGAUGUAUACAAGAACGUUCAUGAAUACGGGAACCGAUAUUGCAGGGGUGUAAGUGCUUCCUAGAGAUCUUCCUUUUGGUUCUAUUUUCCUUGUUGACUAGUCAAUGUAGUUUGUACGGUGAUUAUUUUGUGAUUGUUCAAUUUGUUCUUAGGGCGUUUUUGGAUGUUAUCAAGGUGCAAGCAAUCAUGAAGAGCUACAUAAUUUGAUGAGAGCUACUGUCAUGAUUCGGAGGUUAAAGAAAGAUGUUAUUUCGCAGUUGCCAGUAAAGCGUCGGCAGCAGGUAUUUUUCUUUAUUUUCACUUCUUAUUUUCACUUAAUAUUUACCUUAAAUAGUUCGUAAAUAUCAAAUUAUUGAUUUAAAAUUGUUAUCAAUCUCCCUAAACUGGUAAUCUAGCAUCUGACAGCUUCAUAGUACUUUGGUAGAGCUUUUUAUCAGCUUGAUCUGUUUGUAUGUUAUCCACUUUAGUUUUCUAUGAAACCUUUUCUAAUGACUUUCGGACAUUCUGCUUUCGGACAUUCUGCCUUUCAUCCUUUUUGUUAAAGUUAAGCAUUUAAAAGAUGGAAAAAAAAAUUAAUAGAACAAGAAUAAUGCUCAAUGAUAAGAUGUUAUUUCUGGUCGGUUUCAAAAUACUAGAGAAAAAGUUUCCAAGUUUGUUUUUCAUAACUAAUCGUUCUUCAAAAUGAUGGAAGUUAGCAAUCUUCUAGCUGCCAACUUGCUUUAGAGAUAGAUAGGACAAAUUUAGCAUUUAGAGUUUAUUUUUGCCUCCAAUUAAAGUUUACGAUUUUGGGUUUCUCUUUGAAAUAGCUGACCUAUAUUGCAGGUGUUUUUGGAUUUGAAUGAGAAAGAUAUGAAACAAAUAAGGGCUCUAUUUCGUGAGGUAAAUAUUAUAAGUUCUUUUUUCCUUAUCUGAUACAUGAAUUACUUCAUCCUUUAAUUAGUCUACCUAAUCAAUAAUGGAUUCCUCUAAGGUUUGUGCAUUUGUUUUGUUGAUAUAUAAUUAUAUAUAUUAUUUGACUUCUUUAUUUUUUUUUUCUUUUGAGAAGUCAAAUGGUAAUCGCAAACGCUAUAGAAAAUUAUUUUAUAAACAAAUUAUUAUGUCUUUCACAAAAUGCAUGUACUACUUCCAUUGAAUGGAGUAUAAAUUUCGAGAAGGGUUUGUUGAAAGUUUUGUGCCUGCUUUGACUGAAGGUUUACGUUACGUGUUUACAAUGAUGAUGAAAACUUGCUUUCACUGAGUUGGAGACAUCUUGUUAGCUACUGUUGUUGUAGUAACAUUUAAUACUGUUGUUUAUUCCCAUUGUUAUGCUUAUGUUAAUUAUUUUCUCUUUGCAGUUGGAGGCUGUAAAAAGCAGCAUACAGUCUUGUGAUUCAAAAGAAAAGAUCAGUUCACUGAAAAUUGUUGAAAAGAAUCUUAUCAAUAAGGUCAUCUAUAUAUUUCAUCUUGUAAUUUGCUUGUAUUUUCCCAUAAUUAGUCAUAUCCCGUUUGGCAUUGGAAAUCAGCUGGAGAAACUAGUAGAUAAAAUGAUGAUUGCCCUUUUAUUGUAUGGUGUUGACAGAAGAUGAACUCUUUACAAGUUGGUGCCAUUUUCUAACUCUGGCAGAACUUGGAAGAGAGAUAUUUGCUAUGAUAGAUAUCAGGCCAUUCAGUCAGUUGACGGUCUCCAUUCUUGGCUGCACUUCAGAGUUUAGACUAACCCAUUACAUGCCCUCAAAGUUGACCUCUAACCUUUAAACCUAGGAGAGGAAUAAAGAUGGUAUCUUUUCAUUUAUGGGCAGGCAUAACCAAUCCAUAAUGAAGCAUUGCACGUACAGACGUACUUAAAAAUAAUUAAGGAGCUUAGAAAUAUUGUCAUGGUCCAUAUCUUUGUAUGUCUUCUUAAAACAGAACUCCCAUUAUUUUUAAGGUAUGAAAAUUUUGACACGACAUGAUUAUCGUACUGAUAGUAAUUUGUUUCUUAUGUGCCAAGUAACUGAUUGUUUUGCCUACUUCAUGUUUUAAUUUUAUCACCAAGUACAGAUCUAUACUGAUUCUGCUGAAGCCAAAAUUCCAGCAGUUCUUGACUACCUAGCUACUGUUAUAGAGGUCACAUUUUCUAUUUCAUUCAAUAUCUGAUUCUGCUAUUAUUCAAUUGUGCAUUUAAUAUUGGUGAUAAUUGCUUCGUGUUGUUGAUAUCCCGCUGCACAGGCAGGUUGCAAGUUUUUGAUAUUUGCACAUCAUCAACCAAUGAUCGACGCAAUCCAUCAGUUUCUUUUGGUAACAGAAAUAAUCAUAUCAGCUCUUUUUCCAGUGCUAUAUUCCAAGAUUAAUCGUCUUCUGUUUUCAGAAAAAGAAAGUCGACUGCAUUAGAAUAGAUGGUAGUACACCAACUACAUCAAGGCAAACUUUAGUCACGGAUUUUCAGGAAAAGGAUGCCAUAAAGGCAGCAGUUGUAUGUGGUUUCUUUAAAUCCUUCAUCCUAUUUUCUAUUUGAAAGUUUGUCAUCUUAAUCUUAAUAUGUAUUAGAUUAUCAUUAUUUUUUUUUUCUAAUGAACGUUAAAAAUCUAAUGAUAUUGUCCAUUCUGUAGCUUUCCAUUAAAGCUGGAGGUGUUGGGUUGACUUUAACAGCAGCGAGUACUGUUAUAUUUGCCGAGUUGUCCUGGACGCCAGGUGAUAUAAUUCAAGCAGAAGAUCGUGUUCAUCGAAUUGGUCAGGUAAAAUUUCUAUCAGAAGCUUUUAAAUUUAUUCUAAUUUCGUCCUUUAUGUUUUUCUACUUGGUAUUCAAUUAUACUGUCUAGUUAGUGUUAUGCCUGAAGGUGAAACAAUUACUUUGUUAUGCUGGUUGCUUAAUCCGAGUGUACAGUUUCACAUUUGAAAGAGAUUUUGCAUGCUUGGCUAGGGUUAUUUAAUUUCCUCAUUUGAUGACAAUCCCCGGCAAUUCACCUUGAUGUAGUUUUUAACACGACGAUUAGUUGGAUUUCCACGUGAAAUCAUUAUAUGCUAGAAUUUGAAAAUUUUGUUUUGUUUCCUUAUGCUUUCAGGAGUCCGCUGUUAAUAUAUACUAUCUUCUAGCAAAUGACACAAUUGAUGACAUUAUCUGGUACAAUGUCUUUUCUUUCUAUGAUCCUACACAUUCUCGUUUGCUGCAGUUCUUGGAUUAAAAUAUGAACAUUAAUGUUUUUUAUGCAGGGAUGCUGUGCUAAGCAAACUCGAAAAUUUAGGACAGGUUCUCUCUCUCCCUCUCUCUCUCUCGUGCGUGUGCACACAUAAUUGAUACCCGGAUAACACAUGCUUUAAUUAAGAAUUUAAAAUAUUUAGUCUGUCUGAAAUAGAACCCCCUAGAUUUGUGCAAAUAAAUAGCAAAAAUGCAGGAUUUUUUUAAUAAAUUGAGGGGUUAUGAAUAGUCUUUUGUUUAUUGAGGGUGCUAAAGUGUGCCUGCUAUGGUAGAUCCAGGGUAUAAUUUGCAUUUUAGCCAUUGUAUUUUUUGACGAACGAUUGAAGCCUCCUGCUUACAGGUGCUUGACGGACAAGAGAAGACGCUAGAAGUUGAUGUGAGCGGAGCAGGCAAGAGUCCUAUUGCGAAGAAAGGAAUGGUUGAAACAAGCAGAAGUCCUGUUGGGAAGAAAGGAAUGGCUGGAACAAGCACGAGUCCUGGAAAGCAAACAACACUUGACUCCUUCCUGAAACGGUGUCAUAGUCCCACCGAUUCUCAACUGAGGGCUAAAACCCCUAGAUUUUGAUGCAUGCCUGGACCCAUUUUGAUAUGAUGCUUGUAUUAGUAUUCCUUUUUGUUGUUUGGAAAGUCCAAGUUAUAGAAAGCUUGUAAUAUAUUUUGUACAACAACUGUCUCUGUAUGUUUAUGUAUAUCAUUGAUAGAAUGAAAGAAUGUAUGUAGUCUCUUUUUUUUUUUGUUUUUUUAACACCUGAUGUAUGUAAUGAGAAAGAAAGCCUGGCUAUUUUUUUUGGUUUUCUGGACAGUUAGUUUAAAGGAGUAAGGUGGUUCCAAGAGCUUUAUGUAACUAUUGUUGCCAUACAACGCCACAAUGCUUCGAAGUAUAUAUAGGACGUUAGUGUUGGUAUGUGAUAACAGUGCGUGAGAUGCUGUCCUAUCUAAAUAAUCUCUUCAAUUGGAGAUAAAUUUAAUCAAUUUCUCUCCAAUUUUUCUUUUCUCUUUCAUCAUAACUAUCCAUUAAAAUUAAUGGUAGUUAGAAAGUUAGCAGUAUAAGAGUUGUUGUAUUCAUAAUAGUAUAGUAGCUUUACUUUUUAUAUAUAUAUAGAGAGAGGGAGAGAGUUAAGCUGGAAUAUUAUUAAUAGUAUUUAAAUUUUUUUGCUAUCGAGUUUUUAAGAUGUCAGAUUUACAUUUUAAUUAAUUCUACCAUUUAGAUUAUACUAUUCAAUCAACCAUCCAAUCUAAAGCUUGUUGGGUGGUUACUUUAAAAAGUGAGUAGUCCUUGAUCUAAACACAACCCAUUAUACUAGGCUUCAGCUUGUUCAUGAACUUGUGAACUGCAAAUUAUAUAUUUAAAAAUGAUUAUAUAUUUCAAGCCGUUUGUAAUGCGAGCGUCAUGUUUAAGACCUUAUAUAUUCCUCAUUUACUUAUACUAAUGCAUGCCCUCUAAAAUUCAAGGGUAAUAAGUGAUGCAGUAGCCUUAAAGAUAUAAUAAAUAUUUAUUGAAAAUGGGGUUAAUUGAAGGCCUAAUCUUAUAGGUUUUGGACUAACUACUGGGUUUUUUCAUUUUUAUAUUUUUUGGAGGGAGAGAGAGAGAGAGAGAGAGAGAGAGAGAGAGAGAGAAGGGGUUUUCUUUUCUUUUAUUUUAUUUUAUUUUAUUUAUAAUAUAAUAUUUGGAAAGGGAAAACACUAUCGUCUGACACCGCUUGUAACGAAUUCGAACCCGGAGUUGAUCGCGCUGGAUCCGGUGACCCUCAUCCUUUUCCUGUUGCGGGUCCAAUCCAACAAGCCCUAGCCCAAAUUCCCCCUGCCCUCUCCCAUGGCCGAUCCCGCAUCCCCGGAGCCCUAAUCCCCUCUCCCCCACUCCCAUGGACGACGACCACGCCGAAAACGGCCACUGCGGCGGCGGCGAGGGGCGCGGGUGCAACGGCCCCGCCCCGAAGCGGGCGCGCCCUUCUCCCGCGGCGAUCUCCGGGGCGGAGAUCGCGGCGGAGUUCUCGCACCACGACCCGUCGGUGGCGCGGCUGAACAACGGGAGCUUCGGGAGCUGCCCGGGGUCCGUGCUGGCGGCGCAGGCGCGGUGGCAGCGGCUGUACCUGGCCCAGCCGGACGAGUUCUACUUCAACAGGCUCCAGCCGGGGCUCCUCCGGUCGCGCGCGGCGGUGCGCGAGGUAAUCGGCGCGGAGGAGGUGGGGGAGGUGUCCCUCGUCGACAACGCCACCACCGCCGCCGCCAUCGUGCUCCAGCACGUGGCCUGGUCCUUCACGGAGGGCGCGUUCCGCAAGGGCGACGCCGUGGUGAUGCUCCACUACGCCUACGGCGCCGUGAAGAAGUCCAUCCAGGCGUACGUGGCCCGCGCCGGCGCCGAGGUCAUCGAGGUCCCCCUCCCCUUCCCCGUCUCCUCCGACGCCGACAUCGUCCGCGAGUUCCGCGGGGCCCUCGACCGGGGCAAGGCCGGGGGCCGCAGGGUCCGCCUCGCCGUCAUCGACCACAUCACCUCCAUGCCCAGCGUCGUCAUCCCCGUCAAGGAGCUCACCCGCAUCUGCCGCGAGGAGGGGGUCGACCAGGUGUUCGUCGACGCCGCCCACGCCAUCGGCAAUGUGCCGGUCGACGUCGAGGACAUCGGCGCCGACUUCUACACCAGCAAUCUCCACAAGUGGUUCUUCUGCCCCCCCGCCGUCGCCUUCCUGCACACGCGCAAGGGCGCCGAUUCCUCCAACCUGCACCACCCCGUCGUCUCCCAUGAGUACGGGAACGGCCUGCCCAUGGAGAGCGGCUGGAUCGGGACAAGGGACUACAGCCCCCAGCUCGUGGUCCCCGAAGUGAUCGACUUCGUCAACCGCUUCCAAGGGGGGAUUCAGGGCAUUCAGAAGAGGAACCACGAGAAGGUCGUGGAGAUGGGGAAGAUGCUGGCGGAGGCGUGGGGGACGUGCUUGGGCUCGCCGCCGGAGAUGUGCGGGAGCAUGAUCAUGGUCGGCUUGCCGGGAUGCCUGGCGAUCAUCAGCGAUAAGGAUGCGAUGAGGUUCCGGACUCACCUGAGGGAGGAAUUCCGGGUCGAAGUCCCCAUUUACUACAACUCGAGAAAGGACGGCGAGACCGCAGCUAAAGAUGAGAACUCUGCUGUUACUGCUUACGCGAGGAUCUCUCACCAGGUGUAUAAUGUCGAGGAAGAGUACCAUCGUCUCAGAGACGCAAUCAAGAAGCUUGUGCAGGAUGGGUUCAAUUGCGCGAUGCUUCCGCCUGUUAAGAAGGUAAUGUAAUUUUCCAUCAGGUGAGCUAUUUUCCUAGUUCUUAGAUUCUUAGAAUGAAUACGUAACUAGUAGCUGUUUUGCAUUGCUACUGUUUACAUUGUCAGUUUAAUAUUUGCAAUCACCCUGUGUAGUCUCUUGUGCUUGUUGGACCUGUUUUGCAUGAGGAAGUUGUUUAUAGUGGUGACAAAUAGGAUAUACUGUUGUAGUCACCUAGGUUUAUCUUGAAAUUUGAAGGGAAUCCAUAGUGAAAUUAUGGUAGAGAAAAGCAAAGAUAAGUACAAAUAUUAGCCAUACAUAUAAUUAAUAUUAGGCUAUAAGAAAUGUUGGAGGUGUAAAAGUAUUAAUGUUGUCCAGAUCUCACCCACAUUCUGGAGUUUACCUGAGGGUUGAUCCUGUAGUCAAAUUCGACAUUGUUUUCUAUUAUCGUAAAUGAUGUUUAUCGUACUGCUAUAUCAUACAGUAAACAUUCCAAGUUUGAUAUACCUUAACCGCUCACAUUUUGGUAGCUACCAAUGAUAACUAGUUUUAUUGAUCUUGUUGCUAAGUUGCUUAUUGAAAGAUAGUUUCAUUCUUAUGUUCUUUAUUGUGCAUAUUAGCAGAAAGGUCAAACGAGAAUUAUCAUGUUGAAUGACUAGAUAAGAUGCCAUUGAAGCUUGAGUUGGAGAACAUUGCAUCUCCCAGUUUGCAACCAUCAUUUUCUGGGGAAUCAAGUAAUUUAUGUCAUAAUUGAUGAAACUAGUGACAAAUUAUCUUGUGGUCAACAAGCUUUUAAUUCGAAUCUGAGAAUUGCUCUAAGAAACCAAACUUUUUCUCUGGAAUCUGAAAAAAAGUGGAUUGUUGUCAUGUGUUAUUAGUAUAAUUUAGUAGGAAAUAUUGCUCCAGUAUAACAUUUCUGUCAUGUUGGGUUAUGUUAAAUUUGGUUAUUCAUCUUGAUUAGGUUUGAAGAUAGUUUCUGUAUCCAAAGCUCUGUAAUAUUUCUCCUUCAUAUAAAACUCUUUAAUUUAGAGGACCUCUAGAGUUUUGUUCAUGUUUUGUAAACCUAAACUGCUACUAGAAUGUAGAUAAUUCUACCACCAACUGACCUAUGAGGUUUUUACCUACUUCUCAUCUUGUUUUAUCUUAUUUGUAUCUGAAACAGUGACAUAUUACUAGUGAGAUCUUACCAGACUAAUAGUUCAUAGAGAAGUUUGUCGGCUAUUUCUCAUCUUCUCGGCUAUAAUUUUUUAUUUUAGCCAAUAUAAUAUCUAUGGGUGUGGAUUUUAUGAGAUCAUAUGGUUGUAGUUAAUUGGUGUAUCGCGAAUCUAGUUUUCAAAGAUGAUGUUGAAUUGCUGAAGUAAGGUAUUGGGAACAGACCUAGUAGUAGAAUUAUUUUAGAAAUCCUGUGCCUGAUAAAGAAGAUGUUCUCCUACUUAGCAUGCAAAUUUGCUUCUUCUCUAACAUUGUAUUAUAUUAAGGAAAGAAUCGCUAUUAGCUUGUAAACUUGUUCUCCGAGGUUCUUCUUACUAUGCCUGUUAUUGGAGGCAAAAAUCUGUUUUCUAUUCAUUUAUGAGGCAAAAAUCUGGUUAUAUGGUGUUGCUCGAUCAUUCUGUUGAUAGCAAAAUGGUAAAAUAUGUGCGUAUUAUAGAAAUAUUAUGGCUGAGUUUAGUCAUGCCAUAUUAAAGCACAUUUUAAGGUGACUUUAACAGUAGUGUAGUCUCCAGUAAUGCUUGUAAAUAUGCUAUCAUUUUGUGUGAAAUCAUCAUAUCGGACUGUACUUUUCUAGACUGACAUUGUUUUCUUUGAGGUCCCAUCCAUCCUUGGAUGUCAGCAAUUCUAUGGUUGUAAGAAAAUUGCCAUUGUUCUCUAUCUUGUGUUUGAUCUCUAGAAUAACAUUGUAUUGGUUCCUAAGCUGUAAAGUUUAUUCAUGAAUAAUUCCAUGUUAAGCAGAUUAGGUUUUAUUUCUUCUUCACCAAUCCUUGAACCUGCAACCGGUUAAUUGUUCAACAUAUCACCAACCGACAAAGAUCACAGAGGAUGGUUAAGGAGCAUAUUUUAUUAGCAAAGGCUUUUGGUUUUUAUAAGUGAACUUUCCUUAUCUCUAAUUGAAGAGAUGAUUUCAGACUCUCUCUGUGGGUCUGACUGGUAGAGUCUGGUUUCUUAGCUCAUAAUUCUUAGCAGCUGAAUCCAAGUGUUCUCACAGAUAUUGUAGUCGCAUAUAAUCUAGUACUUUCGUGAGCUCAGAUUGGUUAGUGGCACAACAGUUCCCUGCAGUGUCUGCACUUUUGUCUUCAAGCGCACUUUAUUAUUCAAAUCUUGCUGUUUAUUAUGGUGCGGUAAGGUUGUUUUGGGAACUCGCAAAAUGCUCAUCGCUCAUCUAUUGCUCUUUCGAUGUUGCAGUGAGAAGCUUUUCUUGUGGUGGUGGAUGGGGAAGCAUGUCACCAUGGAGGCAAUGAGCUGUCCAUUCUCUUUCUAAGAGAUUGCGGCAUUCUCUCUCGGACUUUUAGAACUUAGUUAAAACUAACGCUGUUGUAUUUCCCUAUGACAAUAAUCCGCGGGCAUGUUUAUUUCUCUCUCCACCCCCCCAACCCCCCUUUUUUUCAAGCUGUGAUGUAAGAAAUAAUUCGACAUUUAUCAGUUGCUUUGUGGUCGCUGUACAUGGUUUUUUAUAAUGUCUCUGAGAUGAGACGAGAUGGGAUGGAUGAGGUGAUAAUUGUUUCUAGUAACUGUGAGCUCUUAUGGUUUCCUCUGAUGAGGUGUUGGCAAUUUAGUAACCUCUUUUUCAAACCUUGCUGCGACACAUUCUAAAUAAAAAAAAAUAUUCAGAAAAAUUGCCCACGUCAGGGAGAGCAAAAAUAACAGGGCACAACUAAUUGUAAGUGGCAGGUACAUAGCGCCCCCUCUCAAUUCUCAAUUAUAGGUUACUGUAGUUGGAUCCUAAAUCUCAUUAUCUGGAUUGAUGCUCUUUAUUUUUAUUUAUUUAUGUUUUUUGGUUAUAAACUUGAGAAUUCGGCUAGUCAUUUAGCUGGCUACCCGAUGUUAAUAGCUAACAAAAUUGGCAAGUUAAUUUAACAACAUUACCCUCAAAUUCAUCUGAGAUGAAAAUAAUUUAAAUUAAAAUAUAUAAAAAUUGAAAUAGCAUUAAUAAAUAAAAUUUUAAAAAGGUGAAAAAAAAUUUAAAGGAGGGUCUGUUGUCAAAUGGCUUAGUAAAUUUAAAAAGAAAUAAUGAAGUCCGCUUACUAAGGCCCUUGUUAAUCGGAUAAAAUAAGGUAUGGUCCAUGGGGAGCCCAUUUAGACAUAUCGUACCGAUCAUUUUUGGCCCAUUCAGCCGCGGCCCAUUUAGUGCAACGUUAAAGUGUUCAAUUGGGCCGGCCUGAGUCAUGUUGGUCUGUAUGGGCUCUGUCCGAGUCCGGCCUCUGUCGUUUUGUGAAGUCUAUUUUGGCAGGCCUCGGGAACUGUCUAAAAUAGAAAGUUUUCAGUUUCACAUUAGGCAUUUCCCGAGGCCUGCCAAAAUAGACUUAACAAAACGAGAGAGGCCGGAAUCGGACAGAGCCCAUACAGCCUAAUCUAAACGGAGCCCAGCCCAAUUAAGCCUUUUGGGCCCUGCGAUUUGACUAAGUUCGGCCCAAGCAAAUGUUCUCGAAUGAGUAGUUCUUAUUGGCCCAACUCGGCUGAGCCCGGCCUAACAAAACUGUGCUGAAAUACGACCAAGACAAGCAUAAUUCUUGCCUUUGGUCGGCCCAGAAUAAGAAUGAAGCGUGGUUAAGACGUGGCCUGAUAAAAACAUGGAAUAAAAAUUUGCAUGGACGUGUAUUCAGGGGGAAAUGCAUGUGCAAUUUUCACUUCAAAUUUUUCUAUGAUAAAAUCUUGCUAUCCAGAAUCUUAUAAUUGUAAAUUCAUGCAAUUCAAACCUCAGAUCUAUUCUAACAUCUUAUUCAAACUCCUCAAAACUACGUUAUCAAAUAGCUAAUUUGUAAGGAUGUUUAUUCAUAGCGUCUUCUCAAUAUUUGGAUGAUUGGUUUUUGAUUAAACAAAUAAUAUCAGAUCAAUCAGACGAGCCUGCAACAUCCAUCAAUAAGCUUUUAACUAUUCUUCGUGCCAAGUUUCAUUGUCGGAGAGCUGAAACAUCACCUUUACCAUAUGCAAAUAGAACCUCAUACAACUUAGCACGAAUAAGAGCACAGAAAGCUUUAGAAAAGAACCAUUUACAAACAUUUCUUAAAACAAAAAAAAGAAGAGAAACUUGGAAGCCACAAUACAGAUCCAGGUUGAAUUUAUCUCUAGCCAUAAUCAUUCUAAACCAUUACCCUUACAGUCCAUUUAAAAGGCAAGUAGAUCAUGGUAUUAGAACUCUCAUUCGGUGUACGAACAUGCUAGCUAUACGACUACUAUAUAAACCAAGAUCAUACCUACGCUGUCAUGAGGCCGACAUCCUUCUCUGAAAAGAAAUUGGCAACUAUAGUACCUACAUCCUCAAGACCAACACCAAUACAGAGAGGAUUCUUCGAGACCUUCAGGGAGCCCACUUCUGCAUUGUGAUUCAAAACUCGAACAUUUGGUCCAUCUUUGCACUUGCCCAUACACUUGCAUCCAACAACCGCACCUUCGAUACCGACCUCUCUCUCAAAUUCCUUCAUCAACUCCAACGCCCCCGAUCGUUUGCACUUUCCUCCCAUGCAGACCUCAAUCUUACUAUCAAUAGGCUUCUCGACCGCCACAUUGCUCUCACCACAGCAUUCCAGGGCAUGUUUUGAUGUUAUCGGUUUAGUUUGAGGUUGUGCAUUACACAGAGAAUUCACAGUUGGAACCACCGUGACCACGGAUUGUGGAUGAGGUACUAUAGCAGAAGCAGUUUUACACGUGCUCAUGCUGACAGUUUCUUCACACUCGCUGUCGCUUGAUUCAGAGGAAGAACACGAGGAGUCGUCAUCAUCAGCGCAACCUUUCAUCUUUGUGGAUUUCAUUGCAGCCUUCUUCUCUUCUUUCCUCUUCUUCUUCAUCUCCUUCUCUUGGGCUCUCAUCUGGUUCAGCUGAGUCAGCAACAACUCUGCUGCUUCCUGCAAAUAUUAUAGAUUAGACAUGAUAAGUUAUCAGAUAACACCGACCCAAACUUUCUCCUCCAAUGUUCUGACAUGCUUUUGAUAUUUUUUCCAAUUUAGGAAAAUCAACUGGGCUCCUACAAAAGACACUUUAGCAUAACAAUUGGAGACGGCAAAGUUCGCAGCAAUUGUUUCUCUUCUCAAGGAUAUAAUCAGGUCAUCCUCAUGAAGUGACAAUGAUUCCGAGAUGAAGAUCACAUCUUCUCAAUACCGACAGAUGAAGCGCAUAUGUUAUGUUAAUAAACAAAAACAACAGAACCUCCUGAAAGAGAUGAGGCAAGUUUUCCCUAAAAUAUUGCAAAUACGAAGAGACAAUCGACAUCUAUAGUAACCAAAUAAAAUCUAACACACAAGAAAUCAACAAACAGCAUCGACAUCAGACCAACAACACCAAUUUACAUAAUAACAUGUAUCAACUUUAGGAAGGAGGAAUUAGGCGGUCGUUUAUUUUUUCUUGCUUUAUUAAUCACUGAAAUGUUACUAAUUCCUGCAUUAUCCAUUCAAAUGCGCCAUACUCCAUCUGUUUUUCCAUCUUCAUCUUGUUUAAUUUUCUCACAUGCGAGCUUCAUUACACUUGAUACACAGAAGCUCAAAGAUAAACAGAUAGUAAACAAGGAGAAAAAGAUAUCCGCUACCAGAAUCGUCGGAAAUUGACUGAUAGAGUAAUAUCUAAGAAAACUAUUUAGACAAUACAACAAUUAUUAAUGAAUCAUUCCUCUUACAUAUGAUCAUAAUAUCCAGAAAUAAGAUCAACACAGCCUUCUCUCAUCAAUCAAAGCAAAUUACUCAACGAUAAUCCACCAGAUAAAAUAAAUACUUACUACUAAAAAAGCCAAAAAAAAAAGAACAUAAAACAUAGAUACAAAGAGCAGAAGCUUACCGAGAUCAUCUUGCUCUUAACCUCCCCGGCCCCGGCGACUGCCUCUUCGAUCCCAACACCGAAACCCAUGGAAUGAAGCGCGGCGAGAUCCUUCCUAAGUCCCUUCACGAGCUUCGCCCUCUUCUUCUCCUCCUUCUUCCUCUCCCCGCACCUCGCCGGAGACACGUAGUACUUGAGGUGCCCCUCGUCGAAGAACCCUCCACUGCUUCCGCUCGGCCUCCUCGCCGGAACCCUAAGCCGCCUCCCGCUUCCGGCUACCGUGCGGCCGGAGAAUAGAGAAGGAUCGGCCAAUCCACGCCGGAUCCCGGCGCCGGAGACGAUCGGCGAUCGCCGGAUCACGACGGCGCCGGAUAUCUCCAUCGCGUCGCGGAGAUUGAUUAGGGAUUGGGGAUUGGGGAUUGGGGAUUGGGGUUCGACUAUCACACGCUACAAUUAUGGAUUAUCCUCGCCUCCUUUUAUUGCGCGAGCGAAUGAUUCCUACUCGGAAGAGGAGGAGAAAUCGCUAGGAGCCGUAAUCGGAACGUGUUAGGGACACGUGGCGAAACAUAACUGGGCAGAAGAUGUUGCUUUCCUAAUUGGAAAUAGGAUGGUCGCUACGCGCCCGUGCUCGUGGUCGCCUAAGCGGCCCACGCGCCGGCACGCGAAGACCGGGAAUCCGGACCGUUGAAUGCGGUUCGGUGGAGUUUAACGUUUCAGAUUCGUCCAUGUAAGCGACACGUCGCACAACACCAGGACACUGGCAACUAAAAUAAAAUUUCACAAUCCUCUCUCGGUGUUGUGAAAAAGAGUAUAGAAUAUGGCAGUUAUAUUACUGAUAUAGUAUUUUUAAUUAAUCAGAUUUUUUUUUUUUUAAUUCAUCAAUUUUAUCACAGUUAUUAAAAAAAUAUAUUUAUUAUAUUCUUUUCCUCGAAAAUAGAGAUGUGAUUGACUGAAGAUAAAUGAUAGGAUGUUAGUGUUAAUUUUCUAUAUUUCCUCCUUGUUGUAGGCUUAGAAGCACUUUUUCCCCGAUGACAUGAAUAUCAAAUUAUUAUUAUCAGAUUGAUUAGUAAAAUUCGAAUAAAAUAAAGUAUUAGAUUGAUAGUAAAAUUUGUAUACAAAUGAAUACUAAAUGGCCGUAGGCAAGGUCACGUAAAUCUUAUCCUGCUACAAUCAGCUAUAGAACAAGAGCGCAUGUUUGAUGGGCCCGCUCAAUCUCUUUUCUUGCAUUAUUUGACAUUUACAGUUAAUAAGGUUACAGUUUACACUUCAAUUGUUGUUUUGCUCAGAUUCAAUGAAUUACCCGCGAAGGGAGAAACAAAACUGGAAUCUGAGUAGAUCAGAGAAAAAUAUGAACCACGGAAUAGAACAGAGAAAUGGCCCAAACUGUUCGAUACUAGGAAGAACCACGCGAAUGCAGAGCUACCAAGGAAGCAUAAGCCCCAUCCUUGAUAUUUAUCAAGUCCUCAUGCUUUCCUUUCUCUAUGAUCUGCCCAUUUUUCACCACUGCAAUCAAAUCAGCACCUUUUAUUGUAGACAACCGAUGAGCUAUGACCACUGUCGUCCGAUUAACCAUCACGCGGUCCAGCGCAUCCUGAACCACCCGUUCAGAUUCAGCAUCGAGCGCACUUGUUGCCUCAUCAAGAAGCAAAAUUUUGGGGUCUUUCACCAUGGCGCGUGCGAUUGCGAUACGCUGCUUCUGCCCACCAGAUAAUUGAACCCCACGCUCGCCAACCAAUGUAUCAUAGCCCUGCAGAUUAAGAAUAUUUUCCGCAAUUAUGAUGAGUAUAAGAAAGGAAACUGCAGUAUAACUCUUCUUAGAUAAACAGGCUUGUCUGAAAGUUGUAAAAACCAAUUGUAAGUCUCUCAAAAUAUUUAUUCGCAAAUAUUUCGAAGAAGAAUAGAACCACACUAACUCAUUUAAUGCAAAGUAAAUCAAAAGAUACUUUCCAAAAGAGAACAACUAUUAAUUGAUAGCAUCUAACCUUUUGCAAAGCGCUAAUGAACUUGUCAGCAUUUGCCAACUCAGCCGCAGCUUUAAUUUCGGACUCCGUGGCCCUUCCCUCCUUUCCAUAAGCAAUAUUUGCUCGAAUUGUGUCGUUGAAUAGAGCUGGUUCUUGACUCACCAGACCCAUCUGCUGUCUCAACCAUCUUAGCUGAAGCUUUCGUAUUUCAACUCCAUCUAGCAAUAUCUGACCCGAAUUGGGAUCGUAAAAUCUCUGCAACAAUGAUAUGGCUGUCGAUUUGCCGCUACCACUCUCCCCAACAAGUGCAACAGUCUAGUAAGUCAAAAAAAAAUGCCUGUUAGAUUUUCCAGCAGCACCUGUAACUUUACCUCGUUCCUUAUGCAAUCUCACCAUAGUAGGCAGUCAAAAUAUAUCCCAUGGAUUACUAUAUGAAAGAACGAACUUCAUACACUUAGAAUUUGCAAAAUAUAUUAGGGGCGCCAACAUAUAUCCCCUGCAAAAUCAUCUAUUUAUACAUCCCUCCCCCAUGCAUUCCCCUUGAUGUUGCAGUCUGUUAGAAAAACACCUCUAUUUAAAGUUCGUGGAGCCAUCCAAUUCAAGAGGGAAUGUUAGUUUUGUACUAAAAGAAGAUCUCUAUAAAGGAACACUUCUGCAAGCGCAAGGGUACAUAUAUAUAUGUAACAAAUUGAGUUUUUGAAGGACAAAUAUGAAAAAUUUAGAUUUCACAGUGAUUAAUUAACAUAAAUCUAUUGGAUCCUCUCGUACAUGCAUGGUCGUAUUCUUAAUCCUAUUCUGCAAUCUGUGUAAGGCAGAUCUAUCUCUUCCUGUAGUUAAAAAGUACAAGAACAAUUGAAAGUAAUUGCUGGGAGCACAAUUUUCAGUUUGGGUCAUCACCGUCCUUGCUAAUUACCACAGUAGAGGAGUUUAACUUUUGAAAUACUACUACCAUGAGGCUGUCUUAUUAAAUAUCAAAUCAUACCUUUCCUGCAGGGAUUUUUAAGCAAAGGUCUUGGAAAAUCUGGACAUCUGGCCGUGUGGGGUAUCUAAAGCUGACAUGUUGGAACUCUAUGUUACCCCUUACGGUUUCUAAAGUUAAGCCGGUAUCGUCACUUGGGUCUAUCUUAGAUUUUCGGUCAAUUAUUGCAAACACAGAAGCUGCAGCAGAUUGUGCUUUAGAAGAAUCCGAUGUUAAAGAGCUCGACUGCGAAACUCCAAUAGCUGCCAUUGCAAGAGCAAGAAAAACCUGCACAGAAAGAUAGAAGCAAUAAAUCUCACUGUCGCCUCAGCUUUAAACAUACAUAUACUGCAAAGUUUUCAUCUUGUGUAGCGAUUGCUGUAGUCUAAUCUACUAUAAUGUCAUCCGUGCUCCAAUUUGCAGAUUAAUAUUACUUUAUCAAUAUAAAAGCAUAAGAAGUGUCCACAUGAAUUUAAUUCAUGAAUUUGUCUGUUGGCGGUUCUUAUGUAUAAUUUAAGUGCAAACAUCUUAAGAUGAAGAAAGAGCAUGCUCGAAGUGAAGAUGUGGGUAGCAAGGUUUUUUCUAGCAUUAACUUUUGGACCUCAGUCUUGGGGGGGUAGUGCUUUGGCUGUACGUUCAACUGUUCUUCGAGUAACCACAGUUGGGUGACAGAGCCCUUUUGAUUUCCCAUUGUAUUUCCUCAAAUAGGGUAUACCCCUGUUUAAUCAAAAAAAAAGAAAAAGAAAAAGAAAAAAGAAAGAGCAUACUCGAAAAACUUUGGCAAAAGUUGUCUUCUGAUCCUCAACAAGCCGAGCUCCAGCAUAGAAACUGACUGCAUAUACGCAAAACAGCAAGAAGAAGGAAACUCCAAAACCUAUACCACUGAUUAUUCCCUGUCUAAUUCCUGUUCUCAUAGGUCCUUCGCAUUUCUUCUUGUAGAGUUCCAUCACCUUCUCUUCAGCAGAGAAUGAAGCAACUGUUCUUAUAUUCCCUACUGCAUCAUUAGCAACCUGACUAGCUUCCUCGUACAUCAUCUGCAACCAUCAUCAAAAUUCACCAAUUUGAACGACCAAAAUUGCAUGGUCUAAGCAUAUUAAAUCAUCUUUAUUUUAGAGAUACAUAAAGAAACAAAGGCAUUACAAAUCCUACAAGAGGGUAUACCAUGAGUUAUCUUUGAGGCCAUCUUGGAAUAAUAAGCAAGACCAUAAUUUUAUAGAAGUAUGAACUUAGUCUUAUUGUCUGAAGGCUAUUAAAAUAUAUUCUUUCAAAAAGUUUUCCAAAGGCUAACCUUUGCAUCUGCGCUAAAUCCUUGAAUAAACUUCAUUUGGAUCCACCCAUUGAGGCCUAUGAGGGGUAUCAGAGCCAAGAUAAUCAGAGACAAUAGCCAAUUUGAAACAAAAGCAAUCACCAAACCAGCAACUAAAGUUGCAGUGUUUUGAACAACUAGAGAAAGUGCGUCACCCACAAGACUCCUAACUUUAGCUGCGUCGGCUGAUAAUCUUGCACCGAUUGCUCCACUAGAAUUCUCUGGAUCAUCAAACCAUCGUAUUUCCAUAUUAACCACUUUCUUGAAAGUCAUUAACCUAAUCCUUUUGAUUAAUUUGCACCCAGCAAUAGCAAAGAAAUAAGAAGCAGCAGGAAGUGACAUUAAGGACACUGCACCGAAUACCAAGAACAUCGAUGACCAGAACUUUGAAUCCUUUUUGAGCUUAUGAGGCGGCUGAUAAAAUGUAUUUAUGACAUUGGAUAAUAGUAUGGCAAAAAUUGGGAAUAUCACCCCACUUAUAACUGCAGCAAUAGAACCGAGAAUAAGUACAGGGAUUUCUGGCUUGUUAAGAUAAGCAAGGCGGAGAAGAGAUACUUCUUUUUCUUGAGGGAGAGGCUCUGUCAUCUGGGAUGUGCUAUCCUGAAUGUCAUAUCCUAUGGAGAAGCCGAAUGGCACCGAGAAUGAGUGGUGGCUGCUGUUCUCAAGAGAUGAUCCUCGGCUAGCUGAGUGCUUUAUUGACUUUUGUUUGCUUGAACGAUACCCUGAGCCCACCCGCCCAUCUUGGUCUGACCGGUUUACAUAAUCAGAAUCUUGAUUCAUUUCUUGCAAACGUAUGAGUUGGCUAUAAGCUCCGUUUGGGUCCUUUAGCAGCUCCAAGUGUGAACCUAGUAAAAAAUAUAUUACAAUUUUAACUGUAGACUGUAGAACUUUUGUUGUUUAUCUAGUCAAAAGGGCGAGUUCAACACGAUAAGCUUGAGCUAGCUUUUAUUGAGGCUGGAAGCUAAUAUGAACAUGCGGGCACUGAAAGCAGAAAUCCUAAUUAGAAUCUUCUGCUUUCAUUACAACAAGAGGCUGUUGCAAAAUUUUCUACACAGCAGCAGUUAAUGUUUCUUCAAACAAGCAUCAGCUUUGUAAAAACUCCAGCCGGACCAAACAGACUCAGUAAAUGUCAUGCUUUCCUUUGUAGAAAUUUAACAGGGUAUAAAGAGUUUCACUUGGAUUAUGACUCGAAAAAAUAAGGGGUUAAGAAAUAAGCCCAGAUAUCGCCUCAGGGGGAAAAACUAGGAAAAGAUAGAAUGAUCUAUUGAUUUGUACCUUUUUCAACAAUUGAGCCUCGAUGUAUCACUGCAAUAGUAUCAGCAUUUCUGACUGUGCUUAGCCGAUGAGCUACAAUGACUGUAGUUCUAUUCGUCAUGACCCGAUCAAGAGCCUCCUGCACUAUUCUUUCAGACUCUGCAUCCAAUGCACUUGUGGCUUCAUCAAGGAGCAGAAUUCUUGGGUCUUUUAGAAUGGCUCUGGCAAUGGCAAUCCUUUGCUUUUGACCUCCGGACAGCUGAGUUCCAUGCUCCCCAACCACAGUGUCGAAUCCCUGCUCGUAUUGCAUCUCAUCCAUGUUAAAAAACAUAACUAUCAUCUUUGAAGCAUUUCAAUCAAUAGUCUCUUUUGAAAGAAUUUUUUAAAAAAAAAUCUUACCUGAGGCAUUUUAUCUAUAAAUUUGGAUGCAUUAGCAAGCUCUGCUGCAGCUCUGAUUUCUUCUAUUGUCGCAUUAUCCUUGCCAUACGCUAUGUUAUCUCUUAUACUACCACCAAAUAGGACUGGCUCCUGGCUAACAAGCCCAAUUUUACCUCUAAUCCACCUUAAUUGAAAUUCUCUGAGAUCUACAUCAUCUAUAAGAACUUGUCCAGCUUGUGGGUCAUAAAAUCGUUCAAUUAAACUAAUCACUGUUGAUUUUCCACUCCCACUCUCUCCCACUAAUGCCACAGUCAUGCCACUUUGUAUAAAGAGAGAAAAUCCUUUGAAGAUUUGUUCAUUAGGUCUAGCUGGGUAGGAGAAAUAAACAUCUCUAAAUUCUAUAUCUCCUCGAAUAUCAUCAAGCUUCUUUCCUGAAGUGCUGUAAGUAUCAAUCUCAGGAUUUCUGUUUAUAGUCUCGAACAUUUUGUAAGCUGCGGCUUGUCCAGCUGCAAAAGCCUUUAGACUUGGAGAUGCCUGGCCUAGAGAUCUAGAGAACAUAAAUAAAAGUUAAAUUGUUGGAAAUGGAAAAAAUCAACGAUUGGGAUUGCUUUUAGAAAAAGAAGUGCUUUACAUGCCCAUAAGCUGCUGAAGUUUGUCAAUUGGAAUCGUGAGAAAACAAUUGCCAUAUCAUUUAUUUCGAUAUGCUGAUUUGGUUGUAUGUUAGCUGCAUGUUUCAAGUUGUAUUAUAAUUUUUUUUUCUUGAGAAACCCAGAUUAAGUGACUCCGGCUACUUCAUCGACUAUUUGUAUAUAAUCCAGAAUACAAUUCAAAAGAUCAGCUAGAAAAGCCAAAAGAGAUACUGAUAGAGAAUGUUUAACCUAUUUCGGCAAGUUGUAAAGAGGUUUGGUCAGUAAUGAUUACUUUUCUUUCAAAUAAAACCUGUUUUAUCAGAGAAAAAUGAUGCAUCACCAGCAAUAUUAAACAGUUACAUAUUACAUUGGUUUGUCACAUAGCAUGAACUAUUUAGUCUACUAGCAAUGAGCAAAAACUGCAGAAUCCAACAUAGCUUCAGAUAUAGAGAUUAACAGUUAAGAGAAAUUAACAACUUUCAGAGCUUCACCGUGAACGAACAACUCAUUCUUAUGGUUCUCCCUUUCAAUCUCCUUCAUACAUGAGCUAGAGUACUUCUUUGGAUCUUCUUAGAAAGCUUUAACGUAUUGUGAAUUGCACACAUAUGGAUAAUGCAACAUCUAUUGACAGCAAAAUCAUAAAAAGAGCAAUUAACAACUUACAGGGAACCGGUCAGAACCGCAAAUAUCACAUUCAUAACUUUAGCACCAGUAUACCCUUUAUCCAGUAUCAGCUUCGCACCAUACCAUAUUCCCAAAGAGUACCCACAGAACAAAAGCAGCAUAACUGUUCCCAUUCCAAGCCCUGCAGCAAGACCCUCUUGAACUCCUGAACUAUAAGCCCUCUUAAGCGAUUUAUUAUAUUUCUCUAUUGCUUGCUUUUCUCCGGUAAAAGAAGCCACCUGGGUGAAUCGUAUUUUAAUAUGUAAUCAAGUACCACGAGGAACAAGUUAAAACUAUACAAAUAAACACUAGCUGAAGUAAAGCGCAUUUGUAACGGGUAUACAAACUUUAAAAUUUUCAAUUUCAGUACCUAAAUUUACAUUAAUGUAUAUUUCAGUUCCUCAUUAGGAUCUGUAAAAACUAAGCAGUUUCUGUCAGAGACAAAAGUUACAGAAUUUGUUUGCCAAGUAACAGAACAUUCUGUUAGAUUAUAGAAUAUCCAUCCUGGAAAUAAAAAAAAAACUAAAGGUUAAAACACCCUUAAGUUUUGGCAGACGGAGCAAAAUAAAAAUUUUAAAAAAAAACUAGAAAGGCUAGGUAUGCAAAUCAAAACUUUUCAAAGUUAUGUACCCGUUUCUGAAAGUGCCAUAGUUUAGGUAGCGUCUGUACGUUUUUAUCUAAGUAAUACAAAUACCAAUGUAAUGAUAUUCUGAGGUGAAGAAAACUGCGGUACAUACUGUUCUAAUAGUGCCAAUUGUCUGUUCCACAAUGACUGCUGCUUCUGCAUAAGCUGCUUGUCCAAUUGAAGCCAUUUUGGCUACAACAGUGGACAUGACUGCUCCGGCGAGCACAAGGGGUGGAAUCGUGCAGAGCAUUACAAGAGUAAGAAGCCAACCUUGAACAAAUGCUACUAUAAAGCCUCCAAAGAACGUUGUCACAAGCUGAAUAAAUUUACCAACCUGGUUAAAAAAAUAAAAAUAAAAAAAAAUUAGCAAUGCGACGUUAUUAUAGAACAUCAGAGAUCAUCCACUAUUCUAGAAAUUACGGAUAACUGAAUUUCCAUUCACCUCUCUAACGAAAGAGAGGUUAGCAUUUGAUUAGUGAAAUUAGAGGAGGAACUAGCAGCAGGUGAAUGAACCAAGUAUUUGAGUUUGCUUCAUAUUCCUUCAUACUAAGUUUACUUUUUUUCCUCAUUUUCUGCAAGAUUUCCUUUUAUCUGUUCAUAUUUUCUCGGGAAAAAAAAUGUAUAUUGGCCAUAAUUUGAGUUUUUGGGACUGAAUAAAUCGCUAGAAUAUUUUCAAAUGACAACUAGUUUCAUCAUCACUGAGCUGUCCAAUUUGGUCAUAACUUGCAUGGUGAACAAUCAAAUCAGAAUUACCCAACAUAGCAAUUGGUAGUACCUUUUCACCCAUGGCAUCUUGAAUUAGAACGGUGUCACCGGACAUCCUCCCUACGACUUCCCCCGUGUUAGUAUGCUUGUCGAAAAAUGCGAUUUCUUGCCUCAGUAUUGUCUUCAAGUAUAAGUUCCGUAUUCGUGCGGCUUGUCUUUCCCCAGUAGCCAUCCAACAAGUGACCUCUGACAAAGAAAAGUAAAUCCUUCUAAGCUUUUCACUUUACUAAAUUGAGAGGUAUAAUUUUGAUCUUGACUUACUAGCGUAACUAACAACAAUUGUAUACUUACGGAAGAAUGAUGCGACGCCUGACCCAAUAGCGAGAUAUAUGAACUCGAGGGAUACCUGAAAUUAGUUAGACUUGUUCAUAUUUAAUGCAAGGAAAGACUUGUUCAUGCCACCUUUUUUUUCUUUUCUUUUCUCUCUGAGAAUCCAAAAAAAGAGGAGAUAGGGCCAAUUAAAACCCCUCUUAUAGUAAAACACCAAGAAAAGAUAAACAAAGAUUAUAUUACAAAUCGAUUAAUUGGGUAUCACUCUAAGAUUUCCGGUCAAUAAAAAAACGUCAGGCUGUCAGCGAGCCAUGCGAUUAAGAUAGUGAAUAAAGUACGAAGAUUUUCCGUCGCCGUAACUCAGAUAGUAAGUUCUCUUGAAGAAUUUUAUUAAUACUCGCAACAAACAAAAUUAUGAAGCUUGAAUCAGGAAACUUGAGAUUCGCUAAAAUCAAGAGACGUUGGUGAAAAUCCUUAUUCGGGGCACGCGAGUACUGAAACCCUCACCUUGGAGACUCUAUUAACUACGUCAUGAAUAUCCAGAGCUCCUCCAAAUGCAUCGAUCAAAUUACCAAACAAAACAGUCAUAAGAGGCAGAGCCGCCCCAUUCGCGACAGCCCCCACAGUUCCCAAUAUCAUCAAAACAAUAUCGGUUGAAUCCGCGAAAGCGAACAGCUUGUGGAAUGGAACUGUGUAGUUGGUCUCUUCCUCUUUCUCUUUCUUCUUCCUCCUCUCUCGCUGAUUUUGCUUCUUCUCAGCUUCUUCUCCUGCAUCUUUUGGCAUCGAAUCGCGAGGAGAAGCAGCCAAAUUCGAGUCGGAAUCAUCUUUAAUUCCUCUCUCUUCAUCUGCCAUACUGUCUGGAUGAUCGGCGGUGGCCUCUUCUUCGACAUCCAUAUCUAUUUCGCGAGAUGGAUUAAUAGCAGAUUACCGCUGUCUAUUUAUGAUGAUGUAAACUAAUCACCUGCCCCAUAUAAAGCAAUCAAUGAAUCAGAAGAAGAAUAAUUCCAGAAUAUGUUAGCAGAAGUGUUUAAAACGUCGCAAUUCUCCAAUAGAGAGACAAGUGUUGCAGAUAAGUAGUAGUGGGGGGGAAAAAAAAGAAGAAGAGUAAAGGAUUAAAAGCAUGAAGCUAUAUAAGAUUCUAUAGAGGGACCGAGAAGCAGAGGAAGAAAAGGAAAGGUUCCAAUACGAAGCAUAAUUCGACAAAACUUGCCACAGGAAUAUGAAGAGGCAACGCACAAAUUCCAUGGGAAAAGCAGAGAAAAAGAGAGCGAGGGAACGACGAAUCACAUCAUGUUUAUGAAGAAACAUCGACUUCAAGCAUGAAUUGAGGAAGGUGGAAAAAGCAGUUAUGCUCAACCAACGCUAAUAAUGGACAAGUUAAAACAGAACCGGUGUACAGUUGGGAGCCACCGAAAAAAAAAAAGGAAAAAGCAGAAUAGGAUGUGGAAAGCAUGCAAAUAAGCAUUUGUAAAAGCAUGGCAGGGGAAAAGGAAAACUGACCAAACCAAGAAGAACCCACUUUCCUCAUGCCACUGGGGAACUAACUGCACAUGAAUUUAAUCGGAGAUGCACAGAGAGAUGAUCUCAUCUGGGGCUAAUGGGUUAUGAUGAGUACUGUUCUACAGAGUUCCCCCCUCUCUUGGGAUUUGCUUCGGCUUCACCUUCUUCCUCUUUGAGGCCGGUGUUUUAGGUUUUUCCCAUGUGAAGGCCACCUAUAUAUAAGUUUCAGUAGAGGUCUCUAUUUUUAAAAUGAGCUAAAGAUUUUGUUUUGGACACAAUAUGUUGACCGCUGUUCUAUCUUGGGAUCGUAUCCGAAUUUCUAUAAAAAUCUAAUUAUUACCGGGCUAAUCAUUCGUGCAGGAUAAAUAAUCUACUAAUCCCAAAUUCCUCAAUUAUUUUCAGAAUAGAAAAUGCAAUUUUUAUUGUUUUUUUUUUUUUUUGUCCUUGGGUUAAAAAUGGGUAAUCGGGUUUGAUCACUCAGCAACCACGCGCCUCUCUUUUUCUCCACAAGAUAAUUUGGGCCUCGGUGGCUGUCAAUGUUAUAAUGUGAAGAGCAGCGGCAAUGCUUUUCAUGAUAUUACUCUCACAGACGUUGAUUUGAUGUUAAUAUACAUAAUAAUAUAAAAUAUAAUAAUUAGUCCGCUGAAAAAGAAGAAGAAGUAAAAAACACCUAUCAAUAUUCCAUAAAAGUUAUUUUUCAGAGUCGUCGAUGUGCUGACUCGUUGAUGUGCGGUGUGCAAUAUGCAGAAUAGCCUUGUACCGUGCGGAUCUUUUCGUGUUUCUUAUCCACCGAAAAAGAAGAUGAGCUGUCUUUUUAAUUUCUGAAAAAACGAAAAAUGAUUCUUUUCUCUAUUUUGAAGAGCAGGUUUCUGGUUGGUUGGGCAUGGGUUGAUUACUGGGACAACUUGGGUAGGGCAGCCGGCAGCCCCAUUUGAAAUCAAUGCGGUAUGACUCGUCCUUCUGCACUAAGGACAGGAAUGAAGCCACUUGCCAAUUUACUUCCCAGUUACUUGACAAAAAGGAUAUAUAAAUAUAUAUAUAUAUAUAGGAUUAAUUUUAUACAGAUUCCUACAAACAUAUUGAAUAGCAGAUAUAUUCUUACAAAGUUUAACUUUUAUAAAUUUUUUCUGCAAAAGUUCUAAUGUAUUCAAAUAUGUCCCUCUAGUUAGUAUCAGUUAGAAAACUGUUAAUUUUUUAACAGCAGAGAUGUGAAAUGACUAUUUUGUCCUUGCCCUCUUCCUCUUCCUCUUUCGGCUGUGGGAGCGGAUGGCAGCGGCGACGGCAAUCUUGCGGAGUUUGUCGGGGUUGCGGCCAACGGCGUUGCGGAGCUUGUCGGGUCCACGGCGCGGCCGAUGCGGUCGGAGGCGCGGGUGACGACGGCCCACACGGGCACCACGACGGCAGCGACGACGACGACGAAGAAGAAGAAGGAGGAGAAAAGGAGGAAAAUGAGGAUACGAAGAAGAAUAGGAAGAAGAAGAAGCAGGAGAGAAAGAUGAAGAGGAAGAGGAAGAAGAAGAAGAGAAAGAUGAAUUGGGAUAGAAAUGUUAUUUUACUUUAUUAACUCACUAUAGUUAAGUAUUUUAACUAUGGUUAACUAGAUUUCUCUAACGGAGAUUAACGGCAGGAAUAUAUCUGAAUACAUUAUAAUUUUUGCAAAGAUAACAUGAAAAUUGAAUUUUAUAGGGAUAUAUAUGCUAUUCACCAUAUUUAUAGGGACCUGUAUAAAAUUAAUCAAUAUAUAUAUAUAUAUAUAUAUAUAUAUAUAUAUUAGUCGCGCUAUGGUGCUUGUAGAAAGCAAAGCAUUUGUGCUUGUGAAUUUUUUACCGUUAAAUUUACGACUUCGAUCAUUUUCAUCCGUUAGAUUAUACUAUUCAACCACAUCAUUUAACCAGGGAGCUCACAUCAUCAUAAUCGCACAUCUAUUAAUCCAAGGGCUAAAAAUUACAAGCAUCAUGACUUGGUACUUUUAAAAUAUAGGACUCAAUUAUAUAUAUAUAUAUAUAUAUAUAUAUAUAUAUAUAUAUAAUAUAUAUAUAUAUAUAUAUAUAUAUAUAUAUAUAAUCUCAAAUUCAAGGGGUAAAUUUUUUUUUAUAUUUUUUAAGAGAUAGGUAGCAAGCUACCUAUUUCGUUUAUUUCAUUUAGAAAUAAACUUAGCUAGAAAUAUGAAUCAAUUAGAAUUCGAACUUACGUUUCAGAUACCAACCACGAAGCCCUUUGUCACUUGGUCUAGAAACGGACGGUCAGGGUAAAUUAAUUGAGCUUGAUUACAAGUGGACAGAGUACAAUUUUGGAAAGCCAAUCAACUUCAAUUAUCAGAUCUUUUUCUGAAGAAACAUUGGUCAUCCAUCUGGGGUCAGCAACAUCACAGUAGCUUAGAUAACAUAAAUCAAUUUCUAUUUCUUCUUCUUAUUUUUAUCUUAUUAUUUUAUUUUUUUAUUACAUUAAAGGAGGGUUGGGGGAACAUCAGGAUGACACCUGUCCCGCAACCCUCCACUUCAUUCUCUCUCACACAUAUAUCUAUUUCUAUUAAUUAUAUAUAUAAUUAAUUAAUUUUAUUAAUAAAUUGUAUAACAGCUUAUUAGUAAUUAAAUUUUGAUAUCAAAUUUUAAAAUUUUGAUACUUUAAAAUUUUAAAUUUUAAAUUUUAAAUUCUAAAUUUUUAUUUUAACUUAUAAUAUUUAUUUCCAAAUUUUAUUAAUAAUACACAUAAUAAAUCACGUAAUAAAAUCUAACAUGAUAAUGCAAUUUAAAUCACGUAAAAUAUCGUUGUAUAAAAAAAAAUAAUAUUUAAAUUUCAGGAGUAAAAUUUUAAAAAUAUAGUCUAUUUCUGUGUAUAUAUAAUUAAUUUUAUUAAACAAUUUCUUUUAUAAUUUUAUUUUCCUUCUAUUUAUUGAUUUUUUAAAAUUAUUUUUGAUAAUUUUAUCUCAAAUCCUUUUCAUAUGUAUCUUUAUCAAAUAAAUUGUUGUAUAAAUUUACUUUGCGCAUAUAUCAAUUUUAAUGACUUUUAUUUAAAUAUAUUUAACUAUUAAAUUAUUUUUAUAUAAUUUUUAUUUAAUUAAUAAUUAGACUUAUAAAAUUAUAUAAAAAUUAUUAAAAAAUAAAAUUUAUUAUAAAAAUAUUUUUAUAUUCGCAGUAUCGUGCGAGUAUUUCACUAGUGUAGAUUGAAGCUGCAACUAUAUAUAUAUAUAUAUAUAAAAUAGACCAGGAAAUCGAAUUAAUGCACGGAAGGUGUAACCACUUCUCAUUAGAAUAAUAGUCAACUCCACCUCAUACGUAUUAAAGAAAAAAAAAAGGAUGUUCCCUUGCUUAAACUUUACACUGAUGAUUGUGGUACAUAACCUGUACUCCUCAUUCUCGCAUAUAAUAUGGACAAAUGUAAAGAGAGGGAGCAUAAUUAGAUGCUAAGCUUGAAAAAAGAGUCCUCGAUCAGUGCAACAAUGAGUGGUGGUUGGUAGAGGUGUAUGCGUGCUAUCUUUCUCAACUAAUAUAAUACAGGAAUAGUAUACGUUAGCUAGCAUAGUAUAUAUAUAUAGGAAUAGUUGCUUAUGUAAUUAAUAAACACAUGCAUAUUUGCAUGUGAAUCUAUGAGAGAGAGAUUCACCUUUUAUUUUUAUAUUCCUUGAGUGUGUAAGAUAUAUAAAUUUAUUUUUUUAUUUAUUUUAUAUCACAUUUUAUCAAGAGUUAUCAUAAUUUUAUAAUUAAAUAAAUUAUCUGAUAGUCAAGUCGUUGAUUGUAAACAUUCAAACAUAGAGAAGUAUGUCAGAUCGUUGGCACUAACCAUUAAUCCUAAAGGCUCGAGCUGUUCUUAAAACGUACAGAUAUAGCGUCCACGGGUCUCAAUUGUGACUCAGUCCACUCGGCCUCAUGCCAUUUCAAAUAUGAUUCGGCCUAUCCAGCCUCACACCAUUUCGAACGUGACUCGGCGUAACAUGGUCUCCCGCCACAGGGCAGGAUGCUGGCCCAUUUAAGCCAACAAUCCCCCUCCAGCAUCUGCACAUAUUGGCAGCAUGCAGAAAUUGAACCGUGAUCUCUGGCUCUGAUAUCACUUGUCGGAUCGUUAACGCUAAUUAUUAAUUCCAAAAGUUCGAGCUGUUAGGAAUACGCAACCAAUUCACUUUAAGCGUACAGAUACAGAGUCCACGGGUCUUAAUUGUGACUCGGCCCACCCGGCCUCACGCUAUUUCAAAAAUGAUUCGACCUACCCAGCUUCAUGCCAUUUCGAAUGUGACUUGGCCCAACAUGGUCUCAAGCCACAGGACAGGAUGUUGGUCCAUUUAAACUAACAAACUACUAUGUUCAUAUAUAAAUCUUAUAAAACUUCACAUAUUUGGAAAUUUAAUUGACAAAAAUAAUACAAAAAAGUGAGCAUGAUUUAUAAGUCGAAUAUCGAAAUUACAAUUAAGCUACAUUAAUUUGAUGAAAAUAAUAUAAAAUUAUGCAUUUCGUCCUAAAUUUUUAUGUUGUAGAAUUUAUUUGUGAUUAUAGUAUUAUUUUUUCUUUAAUCCUUUUAAUUCCACAUCCCAAGACUUUCUCGAGCCGUGAAACACUGAAACCGACGCAAAUUUUAAAGUCUAUGGCUAGUAUACUUCCAAACGGGCCGUUUGACCCAUUUUUUCUAUGCAUAAAUAUUCCAGAGGACUUUCAUGUUACUCCAGUUGCGACAUUUUGGUGGCAAUUAUGCCCAUAGAUUACAGAAAUUUUCUCUUUUAUUUUUAAAUUAUAUUUAUUUUAUUUAAAUAGUAUAUAUAUAUAUAUAUAUUAUUAUAUAUGAAUAUAUGUAUUAAAUUACCGAUCAUCCCUAGCACAAAUGACAAAGAACUUAAUAAUUGGUACCUGAGAUUUCAAGUUCGAAUUCUAAUUGAUUCACAUUUUUGCUAAGUUAAUCGCCUCAUAUUCGGCGCAUAUAAGUUGAUCUAAAAAAUUAAACAAAAAGGCUUCAUUUUUAUAUGGAAGCUACUUAUUCUGUCCAUCUUACAGAAUAAAUAAAAUAAAAAGUUUUUUAAAAUAUUGUCCACAAACAAGUCCCAGUCGAUUAUGGGGAUGUUCGGCUCCUCGAAAAAGCAUUAAAAGUUCAUAAAAUAUUUUCUAACAAAAUUAUUAAAAUAAAAAGUUUUUUAAAAUAUUGUCCACAAACAAGUCCCAGUAGAUUAUGGGGAUGUUCGGCUCCUCGAAAAAGCAUUAAAAGCUUGUAAGAUAUUUUCUAAGAAAAUUAUUUUUUUUCAUAGUUUUUAUUUUUUGAAUAAAAUAUUCAGAAAAUAAAAAUACUAUUUAUUUAUGAUUUUAAAAAAAAAAACUUCGAAACAAACUAUUUUUUCCCGAUACCAAACACAAUGAAAAUUUUUUUUGGCCAAAACUAUUUUAUGUGAUAUUUUUCAAAAACCAAAAACUGCCUCAAUUCUAUAAGAUAGCAUCCACAAAAAGGAAAAAAGGAAAUUUUUCUUUAAGACAGAAAAAGAUAGUAAGUAUUAUUUCUAUUUUAGAAAUAAAUUUCGUUAAAAAUGUGAAUUAAACUUUAAACUUAUAGCACCAUUUGGCAAGGGGAUAGGGGAAGGGGAUCGAUAGGGAUAGGGAUAACCCCCUAUCCCCUCUUUAUUGCCAAACGCUAAUUUUUUUAUCCGAGAAUAGUAGUUUUCGGUUAUCUAUAAUAACCGGGUAUAACUAUUCCCACCAAUAUCUUUAUUUUCUAUAUAAAACUACCAACUAUUUUUCUUAUUCCAUAUUAUCUAUCCAAACGCUAUUUCUCUUAUUUUCGGAAACAACCUAAUUUUCAUCCAAACGCUAUUUUUCUUAUCUCCAUGCUUGUACAUAUUCCUGUAACAACUAGUUCUUACUUAUACCCGAACCAAACGCUACCAUAAGUACCAACCAUCAAGCUGUUAGUCAACUGUGUCAGAUACGGGCAGUCAAAAAAGAAAAGAAAAGAAGGGAACAUUUGAGAACCCCAUCCAACUAUUUCCAUGCACAGGUGGUAGGUGUUUACAGUGCAGAUUUCUCACGCUUCCGUUUCCCAUUCUCCUACUAGCUACUAGCGGAUUUGAUCAAUUUCCUGUAGUUGAUAAUUAAUACUUGAUUUGCUUCAAAAUGAUUGGUGCUCCGCAAAGAUUAAUAUAAAGUAUUCGUAAGCUAAUUAAGUGUCUUUUCUUUUGAUUUCAAGAUGCGUGGACUUGAAAUAGAAAAGCCUUAGGUAGCGUGUCAAAGGAUUCAUAUUAUUUGAACAGUAAAGAAGUACUGGAUUAGAAGUAUUAGAGAUAAUGAAUUGAUGUUGUGUUCUGCGGUCGAGCUUGACCGCGUUAUAAUUGAAAUUCGGGGAAUGUGAACACACAUAUAUGCUUGUUAACUUUUAGCAUAACUAAUUAACCGGUCCCUUUCAUCCUUUUCCAAACUAGAACUUGGAGGUAAAGAAAUGUUAACUUUCCAAUAAUUAAAUUCAAUGAAUGAAUGUUUCUUUCAUGCAUGUGUUGAUUAAUUUAGUUAGUCAAAAAGUAACAUCGAACCAUGGUAACAUGUUGUGAUGCUUUCCUCCAUGCUUUAUGACGUGUGAGGUAAUUAAUUACUUUAGACUAUGAUUUGUGAGUCGAUCUAAUAGUAUUACGUGUUCUAUGGUCCCUGGCGUUCACUCCACCUAACAAUUGUUGGAUGAAGCUACAAAUAGGAAAGUAUGAGCUCGCCGUGGCCACUAGUAACUUUUACAUAGAAAAAGAAAGAGAGAGACGCAUGUGUAUGAGUUAUAUAGUCCUCGAUUUCACACGUUUAAAGUAUUGAUCGAGACUUUUUGUGAUAAUAACCCGGCAAAUUUUAUGCCAUACAAUCACGAUCGAGUUCGAUAUAUAGGUCGAAUUCCCAAAACCAAAGAACAACCACUAGCUAGCUAGGAAUAGUACCCGUGUAAUUAAGAAUGACCCUUAUGUAGCCAACACUAGCUAGGAUUAGCUCUCUAGAACAAAUCGAGAAAAAAAGAAAAAAGAAAAAAAGGAUACACGAGAGCCUCUUCACAAAGAGAAUAUGGUCUAAUUGAUUGCUCAUCACUAUGCUAAGCUAAGAUUUAUGCGUUGUUCGUGAUAAACGGUCAAUCAAAUUGUAUCUUCAUAGGGAGGCUCUCCAUACAAUUUUUGUUCGAUCGGAAAAAUUCUAUCAUAUUACGAGUUAUGGGAUAACUAAAUAUGUGAUAUUUCUUUCGUCUGGCUGCUGAGCCAUCUUUCAUGCUUUUGAAAACACUAAUCAAAUAGUUUUGACAAUCAAAAGGUUAAUUAGCUAGAUCCUUGGCAGUGGCAGUGGCAGUGGUGAGAAGAGUUUCUAGAAUAUAUGUUUCAAAAGUAGAAGCUCAAAUUUGUAGUUUUUGCUCUAACUAUUCUUAAAAACUACAAAAAAAUAUUAUUAUUUUUUAAUAAAAGAAAGGUAUUGCUUUAUUGAAUUGCUAGCUCUAUACAUCUAGAUAUUAUUUAAUUUUGCGCAACACUUUUCCAUACUGUUUUACAAGAUUAACAAAGAGCACUCAUUCACUUGGAAUCAUAUAUAGACCAUAUAUAGUGGGAACAGUACUGUCCCUUUUUUUUUUUAGAGAGAGAGAGAGAUAGGUGCACGCUAACCUCUUCGUUUAUUUCAUUUAAAAAUAAACUUAGCUGAAAAUAUGAAUCAACUAGGAUUCGAACUUAAGAUUUCUGAUACCAACCAGGCAACCACCAAACCCUUUGCCACUUACUGUAGAGGCGGUCGGUAGUACUACCCAAUAUUUUAAACAGUCCAGUUUUGUGGGCUCCCUCAUGACUUCCUGUAGCAGGUGGGGGAAAUGUCGACAUAGCCAGAGAAAUCGAUAGAUUAAUUGUCUCCUUUUGCUGCUUUAACAAUAUUCGUGAUCUAUAUACGAUAAAAGAGUACGUACUUGUCUGAAAGAGAGCUAGCCUAACGGUCUUGUGAAAAUUCAUGAUCAAGCCAACUUUAAUUGUGACAUAAACGCGUGAAUAUAUUCUUCUGUUCUUGGCACAAAAGACCAAGAUUGUUAGAAACUGAAUUAUAUCGAUAAUAAUAUUAGUAAAUAUAAAAUUACUAUUGAUCGGUAAAUACAAUGAAUCCAUUUCCUAGUGCAAUUCUUUAUCUCCCCUUUUCACUGUAAAUAUAAAUCUGUACUUUCCACUAUAUUCAUUAUCUGCAUUUCGAAUUGGAUUAUAUUUAAUAAAUUUAAUCUGUCCUAAACAAAUAUAAAUAUGUUAAUAUCACUUUUCAAAGUAUAUAGCUCAAAUAUAAAGUAUAUGGUAGAAUAAAUUUCCAUGCACAAGAAUUCAAAAGAUCAUGGUUAAUUAGUUCCGUUUCCAAUAUGAUCAAUACCUAACUAGCUAAAAAAGAAAGCUUUUCAUCUAGCACUCUCUCAAAAGCACUUUUUGUGAGGCUGUUUAUUAAAUAUUUAAUCUAGCUAUAUAUAUAUAUAGAGAGAGAGAGAGAGAGAGAGCUAGCCUCCUAUACUAUUUAUAGUACCGGGGUUCUGGUACUAUAGUUUCAUUUUCGAUUUUAGGGUGUUCAAAUUAAUGAUCCACACCGUUAAAACUGAUCUAGAAUAUUUAAAGUUUUUAGAAAUAAAAUUUUAUAUUUUUUUCGACAUAGUUUACUUUAUGAUCAAACCAUUUCAAAAUUGUCAAUUUUCAAUGACUAUUAUGGCGAGUUUGGAGUUUAACGGUAUAGAAGAAUCUAAAUUUUUUCAAAUUUUGAUAGAAAAUAUUUUAAACUAUCUAGAUUAAGAUUAACAUUCUUAAUCUUGAAUUUAAAAGUCCUAUACUCAAAUUUUAAAGAUUAUUCAAUUUUCACUGUCUAUUUUGACAUAAUUUAUUUACUAAGUAAACGAUGUCGAAAAAAAUUAAAAUUUUAUUCCUAAAAAUUUCAUAUACCCUAGAUCAUAUUUAAUGGUGUGGAUUGUUAAUUUGAACACUCUAAGAUUGAAAGCAAGACUAUAGUACCGGAGCUCCUGUACUAUAGAUAGUAUAGUAGCCUAAUUAUAUAUAUAUAUAUAUAUUGCAUGUUGACCAAUCUAUUCUAACUACCUCUCUUAAUUUCUUGGCACCAUACGCACCAUCACUAGGGUAAUUAACGAAUGAGGAACCCCGUCUAAUGUGGAUAGUGCUCUACUACCAUACCAUUCAAUUAGUCUUUAAUUUUGCUUUGUCUCUGAUUGUAACUUCACACCUACUACGUUCGUUUGCUGUCCAACAGGUGUGAAUCGAUGGAACUAUAUAUGUGCAAGAUUAAUAUUAUAUAUUUCCACUGUAUAUAUGAAGCCCCCUAAAUGUAACUUUAAUUAAGUAAUUUAUUUAUUUUUGGAGUUGAUCAAAUAGUUCUAGCUAAAUAAAUUGAAGAUUUUAUCAAUCUCAUCAAUAUUGAAUCCAUCAAAUUUAAUAGUUUCAAUCUCUUUUGGACAAAUGAAGCCGAAACAGCAGUUAGCAGUUAGUAGCUAAUAGAUCCCUUAAAUUUAACACAAUCUACAACUUAGUUAACUAUAGAAUAACUCAUAUAUACAAUAAUAAAAGAUUAGAAGUUAAGAAAUUGUUGAUAAUAAAGAAAAAAGGGGUACAGUUGAGAGGGGCCCAGUUCAAAAGGACCGUUAGUUUGAGCAGGAUUUUAUAGAAUUUUACCCAUCACUUCAAGUAUGUACUAUUGUUGGGCAUGCCUGUUUUCUUAGGUUGGGUUCGUUUUCGUGGGUCUGAAUGCUUUGGUAAGCUUUCAUUUGUCGACGAAAAUAUUAAAGAGUUGAAAAGUCUUGAAAGAAAGGGGUCAUUAUCUUGGUAUUAUAAUAAUCAAUUCGGCUCCCCUUGAUUUAUUUCCCCCAUAAUAUGUUCUUCAUGGUUAAUUAGGGUUUAUUUUUUUUAACUUAAUUUUACAUUAUAAAGUUAACAGAAAUGCAUAGAGAAGUUUUAUACAAAUGUUUAUUCUUGUGUUUAGAUUUGAGUCAGAAAGAAGUAAUAAGGACCCAUGCAUACAAUAGGGGAAGUGCUGAAUUUUUUGCAAUCAUGCUCGCAAAAUUAUUUUGCAUAGAAAAUAACCUCAUCGCCUCAUAUCCACCACAAAAUUAUUAUGGACGGUACAUAUUGGACCACCAUAAUUUUUGUGACAAUAGCUCCAUAGUGGACUUUUUUUUUUCUUUUUUUUUUUUUGUUUUUUUCUGGUGACGAGUUCCAUAGUGAAAAGCAGGAGGGCCCUUAACGGCAGCGUGCGGCUCAAAGUGCUUUAGGAUUCAAUUAGGAUUGCAGUGGACCGAGGUUUGGCUAAUUGAGUAACUCUUGAAAUAUUAGAAAAGAGUAAAUUAAUUAAUUACACCGCUGGCUUCAAAGUAAGAGUGAAGAUGGUUUCUGCAUAAUAUUUAACAUAAGUUUAUAUCAUGAUGUUGCAAAUUACAUAUGCAUUGAAAAUGGAAUUAUAUAUAUAAUAAUAUUGCUUAAUUGGUUUGUCAAAAAAUUUCUUAAAUUAUUAGUGUAAAUUCCUAACUGCAAUGGAAAUUGGAUCCAUGCACCUACUUGUAUUAACUUAGGUUGAAUUAAAUUCGAUUAGCUCCCAAAUCUACACACGCAAUGUGACAGCCGGGUUGCUGUCUUUGAGUGCCGUCCUUCAACGUCUUCGUUACACGACUCAGCGACGACUUUUUACUCCGCACACAAGGUAUUAAUCAUCCGUGCAGACAAACGUUUAAAUCAUUAUCCAAUAAUAAUAAUAAUAAUAAUAAUGAUUUCGUGCGUAUUUUCCAAUUGUGUCUGUCGUAUUUGGUUUGAAUUUUGUCCGUCCAAUCAUUGCUGCUGUAGCUUACCUGGGGAUGAUAUCAUCCUUCAAUCAUUCCUGAAUGAAUAAUUCGAUUUGGUGAUUGUUAAUGCACCCACAAGGAUUUUUCCAGCCACUCCACAUGGGCCGGGCCCAAUUGCCAGCAACCCUCGUGGGCUUUUUAUUUUCUGUUGAGAAUAGGAUUAGCUAUUGAUCAGCCGCAUAUAAUAAGAUCACGCUCCCUCCCUGUACCGCAACGAGCUAGUAAUUGAUAGAUACUCUUUAUCGGCGAGUCUGGGUGUUAAUUGGGCUGAGCCCAGAGCCCAAAUAGUGGCCUGGAAAAAGGCCCAGCUCGAUAGGCUCUGUUCUUGCUUGCUCGGGGCCUCGGGCACAUUUGCAAUCAUACGUUCCCAACAACAGGAGAGGACUGCAGGUAACAAACUAGAUCUCUUCGUCCGUUGUUCAGAAACCGCUCGCUCUCUUGCAAAACAACCAAAUUUCAUAAUCCAACAAGUAAUUUUAAUUAAUACACAAAUCAAUCACCGAUAUAAGCACUGCUUAAAAAAACCACACACAUAUGUAGAUUGACUUAGACGGACGAAUUGCUGAGCAAAAUAAUAAUAGAUCACCACCCCCAUUAAAACUACUAAAACUGCACACUGACCACGAACACAUACAGAGAUAUAUAUAUAUAUAUAUAUAUAUAUAUAGAUAGAUAGAUAGAUCAACGGCAUGCAGUUGAAGCCGCCAAGUGGAAAGGAGGACGAGUACGUUUAAGCUGAGGCGUCUGACGAGAAGGUCUUGAGCUCGUCCUGGAACGCCUGCAGGUGGUCCUUCUCGACGCACUGGGUCAUCAGCCGGGUGCCCUUCUGGGGCGCCGGCGGGGCCCCGAUAAUCGCCACGGCCAUGAAUUGGUAGUAGGCGAAGGGCAUGACGUGCACCGGCGGGCCCCACCCGUAAUCCACCUCGAGGAACCCCAACCUGGUCCAAUCCGACACGAACAAGGAGUCGUACGUGAAACUCAGCUCGUACGGGUCCUCCUCGAAGUCCCCCACGGCCCACUUCGCAAAUUGGCCCGGCAGCCUCGCCUUCGCCUCGCGGAUUAUCCUCACCACCUCAAUGAGCUCCCCCAUCGCCACCCGCCUGCUCGUCGCCGUCACCGUCACCGGGUAGAAGCAGUUGCCGUAGAACCCGAACCCGAACCCGAACCCGAACCCGAACCCGGCGGGCUCUCUGUCUUUGGGCAGCAGGUGCCGGGUGUUGGCGAAGAAGCACACGCGGACUUGCUCAUCCGGGCCGAGCUGGAUGGCCCGGGUGCGGGCCUGCCACGCCUUGGCGAUGGCCACGUCGAACGUCGAGCACCGCUGGCCCACGGACUCAAAGUAUUGGGCCUUGACUUUGUUCACGUGGGCCGGGGAGAGGUCCGUGGUGUAGUACUGGAGCUUGAAGGUGGGGAACACGGGCGGAGGACCGGGAGGGAGCUUGGGUGGGCUCGGGAUCAGCUCGCGGGCCCAGAUUGGCUCCACGGUGGGCCGAGCCAGCCCGCGGGCCAGCUCGCCGAUGGCGUUGACGAGCUGCCCCGCUCCGAGCCCGUCCGCGAUCGUGUGCACGGAGACCAGGCCCACAACAAACCCGCCGCACGUGAACUCCGUCACCUGCAGCGAAGGAUAAUCGAUCGCAUUUUCCAAAAACAACCACUUUUAUUUUUUUUAAAUGUGUAUGCAAAAUUUGAUGCUUGAAAGAUAAGCUCUCGCGAAUCAGAAAGAGAAAGGCCACCAUAAUUAACUUGGGGCCCAUAUAUUUUGGAAAAUUGCAGCCCUAUCAUAUCGGCGUCGGAAAAAGAUAUUUGAAAUUGCUCUCGCUCAGAUAUCUAUUUGAGCUAGGAUUAACAUCAUUAAAUACAGUUAAUAUCGAGACAAGCAUGGUUUGAAGCCCACAAAUUUAUGGACAUAAAAGAAAAAAAGAAAAAAAGAAAAAAAAAGAAGAGACUACAAGCAGGGUGAACCACAUACUGAAAAAAAAAAAUAAAAAAGAAAAGCUAAUCAAUAAUUUUCCUAGUUCAUAUGUACAUAUUUUUGUCAGAUUAUUAUGAGUACUAUACAUCCUAAACCACAAAUUAAUGAUAUCGUUUAUACAACACCGUCCAAAACUUGUUGGUGCUUAAAGACAACGAAAUAUGAAAGUUGCGUUUACCUACGUUCGCUCGACCCGGGUUAAUUACGGACCACUCAGCACGAAAUCUAUACCUGCUACCACCUUACAGUACUUGCUGUGGAUAAUGCUAGCGUAAAUGUGAGCUCAACAACCACGUCUUAUUAAAGCGACUUUUCUGUUGCUCGUUGACAUCUCACCUACAAAAGAUCGUUUAUUCGUUGGAAUUAUAUAUAGAUGCAUGAUUAUCCUCGUUAUAGUUUACAUUACUAAUUUGUCCUUAGGUUUUCUUUUUAAUUAGCACACGCGCUAAUUAAUUAACUAGGUAUUUUUGGUACUAAAUUUAAGAUUUUUUUUUUUUUACAUUUUAGAGGUUAAAUAGGUACUCCUUUUUGUUUUCCUAUGUUGGAUCCUAUAAAUGUGAGUCUCUCUGUAUAUAUUUAAUUGUAUACAAAAAGAACUCUUUUAUAUAUAUAUAUAUAUAUACACACUCAAAUAUCCUAAUUGCAAACGGCUUUCGUCAUGAUUUUAUAAUUUCUUCUAUAUAUAGGCUUCUUUCAUUCCGAUCUGCAGUUAGAUAUAUGCCCCUACCUAACAUUAAAUUUGUACUUUCAAUUCAUUAAUUCAACCAUUAAACUAAUCUAUUUAUCUCGAAAAAAUAUUUUGAAUUUGAAAAAUCUGACUCAUGACUACGCGAACAACUUUAUGGAUUGGCUAGCUAGUGCACAUAUUAUGCAUGUUUGUUACUCAAUAGUUGAAAUUAAGUUGUUACAAAGUGCACUCAUUGGCCUAGGUACACAAAAGCACUUUUGUGAAGCUCUGCUUAUUGUUUUUUUAAAACAAGUUAUAUGUUAGAGUAAAUUCGAUCGGCAUGUUAUUGGAAAAAUUUUUUUGUUUAAACUAUAAUAAAAGGCACACUACCAGAUGUGGCCUUAUCAUAGUAUCUUCAGUUGCUUCAGCUACGGUUAAAAUACAGCAGUUGCAAUUACAUACAUUCUGUUUAGUUGAAUAUAUUAGAAGGCAUUACAACUAUAAAUAACUUGUUUGGAUGAAUACAGUUGAGAAAUAAAUUUUUAAAAUUUUAUCAAUUUAUAUAUGAUGGUCAAUUACCUCCAAUAUAAAAAAAAAAAAUUUAUUUAAAAAAUAAUCAAGGAGGUGAGUUUAUCUUUUGCUUAAAAUUAAGUUACUAUGUUCAACUACUACAGUUGGGCAUUCUUCUGCAGUUUUUAUUGCAGCAGUUGAAAUUAAAUAUAUCAAACUAAAUAUCGAAUUUAUAUUUAUAUAUAAUUAUAAUUACAGUUUAGUUAUAACUAUAUGCAACUAAACGAUCUCUUAAUUGAUAUGGUAUGUAUAUUAAUUUUAUCCAAUCAAUGCGGUUUGCAAAUUGCAAAUGGCAAUGUGACGAGGAUCCUAACAGUGAUUCUCCUAUUGCUUAAGAAAGCAUUCAUUAUUUCUCCUUUUUGCACUGUUGACUAUUGGUCUAUUAGCGUUAGGACUACGUGUCGACACUCGACCGCCUUACUAUUUAAUACUUAUUUUAUAAUAUAUAAAUAUAUAUAUAUAUAGACUAUAGUUAACCUAAUUACAGCACGUACAACAUAAACAAUAUUAUUACCUACAGGUAACCAAAAACUGUCCUACAUGUAACCAAAAACAAAUUAAUUGGUAUAAAUAUAUUUCUCAAAAUAAUUAGUUCUUUGGAACUGUAAAUACGUACUUACGUAUGAAUUGUAAAUGUUAAAAGCAACAGCAAAAUUUGUCCUGGUAGGACUAAUAAUUAAGAGUUAAACUGUUACUUUCUCGCUCUUUUCUUUGAAUAAAAGCAGUGCUAUGGUUUAUUAAUUUUGUAUCGUAGUAUUUUAAUUUCUAUCAUGCAUAUAUAUCUUAUCCAUCACUUCAGAAUUUACAUUUUUUGUCGAUUAAAUGUGACUAUACAUCCAUAUUUAUAAAAUAACAUGAAUAAUUUAUUUGUAACAAUGUCAGUAUUAUUCUUAUUAUUAUGUUACUCAACUCCUAACACAGUAAAGGUUCCUAUGUAAAAGGCUGUUAAAAAAAACAGCUACGCAUAGAUGUGAUUGAACUUCAAAGUUCGUCGCUGCUUAGAUGCUUGUUCCUCUGAAAUAGAUGCUUGUUCCUCUGAAAUAGUUCACAUGGGUAGUUGCAUCUCCCUUUCCAGUGGGGUCGGAUCAAAUGAUGCUAUGCAAUCUUUUCUCACAAGACAAAAUGCUAGCCGUACAGACAAAAAUAAAUCUGAAGUAUUACAAAUUCUUUUAAAAAAAAGUAUAAAUUUUACACUCUCAAUUAUAAAAUUCACCAUUUUUAAUUUUUUUUUAAUAUUAUAACAAAAGGAGGCGGAUAAAAUUAAUAACUAUACAAAUAUAAGAUCUAUAUUCUUUUUUAGAGUAUGCAUAUACUAUUGCUCUUCACAUAAAUAUUUUCAAUCAUUUAUUUGGCAUCGCACUUUUAAAAUUAUCCAACACCCUUCAUUUAAAAAUUAAAGUUAUAAUCAAACUUCUUAAAAGUUUGUUUUUUUGCUUUUAAUUCAUAUAGCUUCCUUAUUAUCUUACGCGCGCACUUAAACAGAGUGUACAUAUUACAAGCUAAUUACUCAAACUAAAAAUAGAAAAAAUUUUAUCAUCAUCGAUACAUCAAAUUAUAUAAAAUUAUUAUUUAAAAGAUUAGAAAACGACAAUAAUGCCAAAUGAGGCCGAAGGAUAGAAAUAAAAUCAUUACUCUUAAAUUUUAUAUAUCUUUCCAAAGCUAAAAGGUAUACUAUAUAUAUAUACUACUGUUCACUCUCUCUCUUUUUUUCUUUUUUUUUUCAUCUAAAGAAAAGAUUCGAAACUAUUGCAUGUCGUACUACUCAAUUACAAAUCCCGAACGUUAUCCUUAAGAAAAAAUAUUAUAGCACAAUAUAUACAUACAUAGUGGCUUGGAGCAUGCUUCUAAUAAGAAAACUUUAUCGUGAUAAUUAAACAUAUAUAUAGAAAGAGAGAGUUGAGCUAGAAUAUUCUCAAAAGCACCAAGGGGGUGGUGCUUUUGAGUUUUUAACUGUUGGAUGGAGAGAUGUAGGGUUGAGGUGAUGGUGUUAGGUGGUGAUAUGUGGAAUAGUAUUUGAUCCAAGAAGUAUUAGUAAUUAAAGAGUAGAUCCAAGAACUAGAAACUUAGAAGCAUAAUGAGGUUGGUGCUUUUAAAAGUAUUCUAACUCAAUUAUAUAUAUAUAUAUAUAUAUAUAUUCCGUAACAUCAAAUUAAUCAGGGUAACAAAUAAUUAAUAUAUGUAUGACGCGCGUACUACAUAUAUACUACAAAGGAGAAAAGGAUUAAUUAUAAUUAACUUUUACAGCCCCUAAUCCGAUCAAUGACUUCUAGAAUAUUUUAAUCAAAGCGAUGCGAUCGACUGGUACUACUAUAUAUAUAUAUAGCUAGUUAUAAUUAAAGUUGGCACUUAGAUAGAUGAUCAAAAUUAAUUAUAGAAUUGUGACACUGAUGAUCAUUUGUAAACCUAGCUAGCUAGCAUUGGUCGUUUAUACAAAUUAAUUAAGUUAGCUAGUUAGCGUUAAAGCGAGCGUGUGGUAGCUAGGUAGGUUACAUACCUGAAGCAUAAGGGGUAGGUUAAUGGGGUCGAUUUCCGGGGUGGGGUCGGGGAGGAGCUGGUCCUGAUGGAUGGCCAUGGGGUGGUCCAGGUACCGCACCUCCUCCAGGCUACAGUUCCCUGCGGCCUCCGUGAAGAAGACGCCCUCGCCGUUGCACUCUACGCGCACCUCCCCGUCCGCGCCCUCUACGAACCUCCCCGCGAACGGGUAGUACCGCACCAGCGCCUCGCCGAGCGCGCCCCGGAUGGCGCGCGCGGGCUCGCUCUCGCUCUCGCUCUCGGUCGCUGUCGCGGUGCGGUCGCGGCUGCGCGCGAACACGUGGAGCGACCGCACCAGGUGGCGCAGCCCCGCCACGCGGUCGAUGAUGGAGAGCCGCAGCGUCUCCGACGGGGUGGCCCCGCUCGGCCCCACCAGGCUCUGCGCCCUCCGCGUCACCGUGAACCCCAUUUUACUUAUAUAUAUAUACUGUGCUCUAUAACUACUAUAAUAUAUAUGUAGGGCACGGCGUGUUUGUGUUUGUAGUAGCAAUUGUGUGCGUGUGUGUGUGGUUUUUUUUUUUGCUUGCACGAAUAUUGAUCGAGUUCUAUGACGGGUGCUGGUGCUUAUAUAGAGAGCUAGGGAGGAGCGAGUGUGUGCAAGUUGUUGCUUCUUUGCAUUUUCGAUCUUUUUGUUUUUUUUUUUUUAAUUACACCCUUCUCCUCUUAAAUAAACUGUAGUAGGUGGAGGGUCGGAUCCGUUGCCGUGGGCCAACAGCAAAAUAGGAUUAAAAUAUGAGAGAUAUGAAGCUAUCAGUUUAUAUUAUUAAUUAAUAACCACAUAAAUGAACUCUUUAAUUAUUAAAAUUAUAAUAUAUACAAGAAGAUGUUAGAUUUGUAUGUAUGAUACAGUUACUUCUAGUACGAUCUAUUUAAUUGUUUGGCGUGAAAUUUACGUACGGUUCAACAGUACGUAGAUGUGUAUAUGUGUAGGCCUCGUGAUGAUCACGUUGUGUGCGUUUGUUUUAUCGAUACACUGAAAGCAUGCCUUACAAUACAAGUCCACCUGCGUUGACGAUGACUUUGAGCAGGGAAUGAGCCUAGCUUGUUUUUAUCAUUUAUGCGACUCAAUGCGUACGCGUUGCUCACCGAUCCAUCCUUAGGCUUUGGAGUGAGCCUCACUCGUACGCUUUAUAUCUUCAUGAUGAUCGAUCAGUUACCUCCAUCUUUCUCUUAAUUUAUUUGAUGCCCAUAUAACAACACCAUUCCUCAGCACUUGAUUUAUCGCAGAGUUAUAAUUGGAUAACAAUGACUCGUUAAUAAUGGGUUACUAAAAGUUAAUUGCUUUCUAAUUGAUGCAGCAUGUCAAAUAAAGUUAGUUUUAACAAAAACUAAAAUUUAAUAAUUCAAUCACAAUAAAUUGAAGUUUAGCGAUACCAAUGAAAACUUAGCAGCAGAUGGUGCAUGUAGGUACUAUAUCCUUGUAUAUUUGUUUUUCAAUGUUUAUGAUCACUAUCUCUGAUAUCUGUUGUAUCACACCAUAAUCGGAUGAAGAAUUAAUGUUUCUGUACAUUUUGUCUAUACAAAAGUCAUGAUUAGUUAGAAUGUUAAGUACAAAAGCACAUAGUUUUUUUUGAGAGAAUACAAAAGCNAUUAGUACUUGCCAUGGUGCAAGAAUUCGAAUACAGGUUCAGUAUUGGAAAAAUACAAUCUGGUUCACCAACUAUUUUUAACUAGCUAUAUAAUAAUCCAGUUUUAAUGAACAAAGUAGAAACAUGCUAUACCAUUCUCUAAAAAAAAUUAUUUACAAGAAGAGGCAAAUUUUAGGCACUUGAGAGAUUUCGAAGCAAAACAAACCGGAUAAAUACCAAAAUUUACCUUUUUUUUUUUGCAAAAUACAGGAAAAAAUUAUUUAAGAAACGAAAAAUUAACGUGCAAUUACAAAUAUCCAAAAUAAAAGGACCACAUGCAUGUAGCUAAACAAGUAGUACAAUUCCAACCCGUCCAAGAACGUUCCAAUUAGAAGUAUUAAUUUAGCACAGGCCAAGCGAGCCAAUGGGAUAGUACAAAAUGUACAGAGAAAUAAAAUAGAAGUAACUACCAAACAUAUUAAGUGCAAAUGUUUCUUGGAUGCAUGAAACUUAUUUAUUUAUUUAUUUUUCCCCUCUUAUUUUGCUAUUGUAGAAGUUGUUUGAACAUUUCGAAUGAAAAAACUGUUAGUGAUUCUUCACAACUAACUAUAAAGUAAUUGCAGAAAAGGUUUAACUUGGCCAAACCUGCUAUUAGACUAGUAAUCUAUAUAUCUUCUAUUGGGUGAUUAUAUAUAGCACUUCUCCAUGCAAAUACAUUUUUUUUAAGACUACUAAUUAAACAAAGCAUUGUGGAGCCUGAAAAGAAGAUGUUACGUGAAAUAUACAUAACUCCUUAAACAGGACCUACAAUAGAUAUAUUGCUAAAUAUAUAUAAAGAAAGGUUAAAAUAUCAGAACUGUGAGCCUAGCUAGCUUAAGUGGAAUAAAUUAAGGAUCUAUAGUCUAUUAGUUAUAUUAGAUAUAUUACAUCCCUGUUUAAUUACCUGUACGUACACAUGAUUGCGAAAGAUCCAUCUUUCCUUGUAUACAAUAAGCUUCCACACAGGGAAUAGGAAUGCGGCAACUUAAGGCCAAUAAUAAACAGCCACGUGGCUAACGCAAGCAACUAUGUUAGUGAAAUAACUACUUGCAUGGUGUUCUAUUGUAAUGCAUCUAAUCCUAUCCUAAUUACCUACUCUAGCUCAAAGUGUUUGUGAGUCCUAGAUUUCUCAACGCAUCGCAUUCAAAGAUGGGCUUAUCCUUCAUAUAUGUCCUGCAGAGCAUUUUCUACGUAAUGGGUAUGUACCACAUAUUCUAUGGAAAAUUAAGUAAAGGAGAAAGGUCAGAUAUGUAGGUGUUAAGUAUCUUUUGUAAUCCUGGUCAUAGAGAGCUCAGCACCACCAAAUGCAUGUCUCAAACUAAUUAACUAUUUACGAGUAGUUAUGUGAUCAAGUGGGGAACGAUCUAGUGUUGAUUUAACUUAAUUAAUUGGAGUACUAAUCAUCUACGUUCUUGAGGAAUCCCUCAUGUGUAAUGGCUCAACCUAGUCGACAUAAUUUUUUGCGUUCGACUCGAAUUAGUUUACAGAGAGAGAGAGAGAGAGUGUAGCGGGAUCAAAUUAAUUAAAUAUGUACAAAGUUGCAUAAGUUUUUACAUAAGUAUAAAUUCAAAUAAAAAAGCCUAAAAUUAAGAUUUAAAUUACUCAACUUUUUUUGAAAAAUUAAAAUAAAUGUCUAAAUAAUUUUAUUAAUUUUGAAAAUUAAUUUCCUAUGCAAAAUUGAAAAGUCAAGAUGUAAGUUUUCAAAAAUUAUGAUUUGUUUAAAUAGAAUUUUUUUUCUAAUGUUAUAUAUAUAUAUAUAUAUAUAUAAAUGCAAGUUACUAUAUUUUUAGAAAAUGUGUGAGUACUUAGGGCAUUUUAUAACUGGGUUGACGAUCUCGAGGUUUUACUUAGUCGCCAAAAACAGUGGAUCGAGUAACUUAAUUAGCAAGCUUACGGCCUGAUCUAUUGCUUGUCGGCGGUUACAGAGGCAAUUUAAGACUUAAGCAAAAGAUCUUUUAUACAUCUUAUCCAACAUCGCUUGCAAGCUUAAACAUACAUUGUGUAGUGCAGAUAUUUCUAAUUAGUUAGUUUGAAGAUCGUUAACAUGCACGCACGCUUGUGGAGUAAGUCGGUGCAUUAUUGCAUAAAUAGUUAGUCUCUUAAAUACAACCAAAGUUGAAAUGCUAGCUAACACCCACCAAUAUCAUAUUCAGAGAGAGAGAGAGAGAGAGAGAGAGAGAGAGACGUGUAGUUGGUGAGAUGGAGUCCUCUCCCCUAACACGAGUAAAAUUGCAUCUUUUAAAUGGAUGAGCUUUCUUACAAUCGAGGAGAGCUAUUAUAUUCUUUUCAAGGACUUUACUUUUUCAUUUUGAACAAAUAAGAGGGCCGGGUUGAAACCGAAUUACUCCUGAACUGCUCACCUAAUAUUUUAACUUACCUGAACUAUGGAAAAUUUUAAUUUGGCCAUUCUAUCUUUCAAAUUUUAAUUUUACUGUCUAAACUUAACAACUGCUUGGUUUGAAUUAGUCAACAACGAUAUUUGACUGCAAAAUUUAAAUGCAUCAUUUAUCAUUAUAGAUUUAGUACUUAUAUAAAUUUCGCAACUAUAAAUUCAUUAAAGUAAAUAAUAAUUACUCUACAUUUUGAAAUUAAAGUACCAUUAACUAACUCAAAUUAAAUUAACAAAUUACAAAUUAAAAUCAAAAUUUUAAAAGAUUAAAUAAUUGAUUUAAAACAAUCCAUAAUUCACACCAGUCCAAUACGUUUGUAAUAAAACAAGAGUCUUAUUUAUGUAAACAUUUUAUGGUAAGCAUUCUCACACAGAGAAGAGCUACGAUCCUUCCAAUACAGAGUUGGUAUCAUAAAUCAUUUUUAAUGACAGAGAGUGUUUGCAUAAACGAUUCACAAUGCUAUUAAAUAUCAUUUAGAAAAUUUAGAGUAUCUGGCAAUCAAAUUUAAAGCAUAGAGGCUUUAUUAUUUACAAGCGAGGUCUAACAUAUAUCUCAAAGUAGGUACGUUUGCAUGCUUGAUUAACUUCACGUAGCAAGUCAACAACAUGAAUGAUUAAAGACAGGGCAGGUAUGAACUGUUGCAGCUGGUAAAUAAACAGGGAGAGCGAAACAGAAAUUACAUAAACCAAUCUUAGGAAGAUUGUGACUAUCAUCUUAUUUUUUGUCUUUAAAAAUUAUAACAUAGCCAUAACUACUCUUAAUUAAAUANCAAGUUAUAAAUAAAUAAGCAUGAAGUUUAAACUUUAAAGAAAACUUUUUAUUCUCUUAGAGUUUUUUUUUUUUUUUUUUUUUUUUUUGCUCCUUUCUAUUAUUGUAGUUGUUGUCUAGCUCUGUGUUUCUAGGGCUACUACUGUAAACAUCUUGUUAAAAAUUAUUUAUGAUAUACACCAACUCUGAAUUGGUAGGAUCGUAGCUCUUCUCUGUGUGAGAAUGCUUACAAUAAAAGUUUACAUAAAUAAAACUCUUUGUUUUAUUACGAACGUAUUGGACUUGCAAAUGUUAAAGUAGCGUAAAAUAAUUAGAGUAACUAAAACUUCAAAUUAAAAAAAACAGGCGAUGCAGCUUAACGACAGAACAUUGCUUUUUAAUGAAGUCUUUUGCUACAUAAAAUUAAAACAAAUUUAGUAAAAAAAUUCUUCCGAAAGAAAAUAAAAUUUAAGCAGUCAGCAAUGCAAAAAACAGUGUGAAAUAAUAAUUAGGAAAGAAUAGAGGAAAAAAAGAGAGCAAACAAAAUUUCUGUUUCUCUUGACCACCUUGUUACUGCUCCACUCUUCUUUUUUUUUCCUUCCUGAAUUUUUUUGUGUGUGUGUGUCUUGGGUUAGGAAAAAUAUAGAGAGAGAGGGAAGAGAGAGGGGAGAAAUGACGGUUUUAAUUGGAGAGUAAAUUCAUGCAUCUUGGACAAGAGGCCAUGUGAGCCCAUGUAUGCGUAUGUGUUGGGAUAGAAAGAAAUGUAGAGAGAGAGGGAAGAGAGAGGGGAUCUAAAAUAGGUAAGCAUAUGCCUAUGGAUAUAGAGUCCAUGUCGGACCAUGUGAAAGAAAAGAGAGGCUAUGUGAGAGAAAGAACACUCAUAUAAAAAAAAAUGACGAUGUGGCUUGACGUAGGGGCGUCGUUUGGUUUCUCCUUUAUUAUAGAGUGUCCGCAGUUCUUGGCGUGUAUCAUGUUGGUUUUUAGAAUUUAAGUUCAUCUCCGAAUUCAAAUAUGUCACGGCUAUUGCAAACAUGGCAUUCAAUUUUCAUACCAACUGCGUCGAUCCAGAAUUUUUUUUAGAUAAGAUCGCUCUAUAAUUCAUGGUGGAUAUUCACUUGGGUGUGCUUCUAACCUUCCCGAGUAUGUAAACUGUCUCUUCACAUUUCUGCAGGAAGAGAAGAGAAAAAAAAAAAAAUGAAAUGUCAACUGUGCCAAAAAAAUUAGAAGAUACAAUAUAAAAUAUUCACAGUAACUAAAACUUCAGAUUUAGAAAAAAAAACAGGCGAUGUGGCUUAACGAUGGAACACCGUUUUUCGACGAAUUCUUUUUUUUUCACCAAAAUCAAAACAAAUUUAGUAAAAAAUUUCAUCCGAAGAAACUAAAAUGUAAGCAUCCCGGCAAUGUUAAAGUAACGUAAAAUAAUUAGAGUAACUAAAACAUCAAAUUUAAAAAAAAAGGUGACGCGGCUUCACGACAGAGCGCCGCUUUUCGAUGAAAUCUUUUGCUACAUAAAUCAAAACAAAUUUAGCGAAAAAAUUCCUCCGAAAGAAAAUAAAAUUUAAGCUGCUCGGCAAUGCAAAAAAUAGUGUAAAAUAAUUUGGAAAGAAGAGGGGAAAAAAAAAAAGAGCAACAAAUUUUCUGUUUCUCUUGACCACCUUAUUACUGCUCCACUCUCUUUUUUUUUUUUUUUUUUUUCUUUCUGAAUUCGUUUGUGUGUGCGUGUCUUGGGUUAGGAAAAAAUGUAGAGAGAGAGGGAAGAGAGAGGGAAGAGAUGACAGUUUUAAUUGGAGAGCAAAUACAUGCUCCCCAGACAAGAGGCCAUGUGAGCCCAUGUGUGCGUGUGUUGGGAUAGAAAGAAAUGUAGAGAGAGAAGUAAGAGAGAGGGGAUGUAAAAUAAGCAAGUACAUGGCUUAUAGAUAUAGUCCAUGUCGGACCGUGUGAAAGGGAAGAGAGGUCAUGUGAGAGAGAGAAAAUUCAUAUGAAAAAAUAACGACGUGACUCGGACGUGGUUUGAUUUCUCCUUUAUUAUAGUGUCAGGACAAGAGGCCAUGUCAGCCUAUGUGUGCGUGUGUUGGAAUAGAAAGAAAUAUAGAGAGAAGGAAGAGAGAGGAGAUGUAAAAUAGAUAAGUACACGAUCUAUGAAUAUAGAGUCCAUGUCGGACCAUGUAAAACGAAAGAGAGGCCAUGUGAGAGAGAGAAAACUCAUAUGAGAAAAUGGCGACGUGGCUCGAUGAGGGACGUUGUUUGGUUUCUCCUUUAGUAUAGAGUUUAAUAACAGAGAGCGUUUGCAUAAACAAUUCACAAUACUAUUAAAUAUCAUUUAGAAAAUUUUAAGUAUCUGGCAAUCAAAUUUAAAGCAUAGAGGCUUUAUUAAUUUACAAGCGAGGUCUAACAUAUAUCUCAAACUCGGUACGUUUGCAUGCUUGAUUAACUUCUAUCAGAAAACGAAGCAAGUCAACAACAUGAAUGAUUAAAGACAGGGUAGGUAUGAACUGUUGCAGCUGGUAAAUAAACAGGGAGAGCGAAACAGAAAUUACAUAAACCAAUCUUAGGAAGAUUGUGACUAUCAUCUUAUUUUUGUUUUUAAAAAUUAUAACAUAGCCAUAACUACUCUUAAUUAAAUAUUUGCACAACCACCUGGAUUUAACAAGCUUCAUGCACGUAAUGCUGUAGAUGGACCGAGUUCGCCUGGGCCAACCAAAUUCGAGCAGGGUCCACUCGGCAGGCCAUGUUGGGCCGGAGAAUUUAGUUAAGAUAAAUAAUCCCUGGCUCAAAGUUCAACAGGACAUUCAAAUUUCAGAGAAAAAUUGCGUCAGGUGUUUCCUGCCUCCUACAAUGUCUUUGCCAUUUCUCGUGCUUUCAGAAGUACUACACCACUACCAGAUCCAAAUUCAAGUUUCAAAAGGAGCUCCACUGUAGAAGAGCGUACUCGGCGAAUCCGAUAAUACAGCCAACCAAAGGGGAAGCGAGAACAUGUGCUUAUUGUUAUUUCAUUUUUGCCAAAAUUAGAAUUCGCUAAAUCAUAGUUUCAUCAAAACAAUCAACAGUAACUCAACCGAGAAAGACAAUUUAACCCACAAAAAAACGGUGGGCAGGGUUUGGGUGGGGGUGUACUUGGAGAAUAUGCAUAUGAAUCAAUAAAAAGUAAGCUUACAUUUACUGACUUGAUGACUCCUACCAAAACUUGCUGGUGGGUAUCCUUCAGGAGGUUCAAGAACUUUCUGGUUAUAGUUAACAGACAUGAGACACAAUCCGUGCGGUGGAGCUGAUAAGGCAACCUUCGCAAGCUCUUUACGAUCCCUUGCAGCAAUUAUUUUCGGGACAAUAUCUGGAGGAAGUGCUUCUCUUCCGAUUUGAAGUAGUAGAGCUACCUAGAGAAGCAUAGGCGACAACAAAAGAGCUUUAAAAAAAAAAGAAGCCAUUCAGAAUAUCAUAAUUCAGUAACAUAUCAGUUCUUUAAAUUCUGUAGCUAUAAGAUGCAAUCUACUUUAUAUAUUCUGGAAUAAUUCGGCAAAAGAGUGAUAAUUACCAUAUUCCUCACUUGUCUGUAUAAGAAACCAGUACCUUCAACCUCAAGCUGCAAAAGAGCUUCCUGAACAACAAUAACAGCAUAUAAGUGUUAAACAAUGUACACAAUAAAGUAAUUAAUAAUUGGAUAUGUAUUUUGGCGUGAGUAUUAUAUAGAACUCAGAAGUUUUACCACUUCAGUGACAUCAAAUCGAAAGAUUUGUUUCACAGGAUCCACUUCACGAUCAUUACGCGAUGCAUUGGCAAAAGAUGAGAAGUCGUGCUUUCCAACGAAAUACGCUGCGGCCUCCCUCACGGCACAAGGAUUAAGUCUAUAAGCACUGUGGUAGGCAUAAAGGGACUGAAAAGGAUCCAUGAUUAGUCCAUUAUAGAUCCUGUAGUGAUAAAUCUUGCUCUUUGUCGAGAAGCGUGCAUGGAAGUCAGGGAGCGCCGCACUGAUUUCUCUCACUCGGAUUUCCGGGGGAAGAAGCCCGUUCAUCGCAGCAUGCAGACUUUCCAGGCUGUCAUAAGUAAAUGGUGUAGUGAAGUGUGCUACCUGAAAAUUUAACCAAAAACUAUUUGUUGUUCAUUCAACUAUUCUGCAAAUAAACUAAUGCAAAUGAACAAGGAUUAAAACAGAAGACCCACAAUUCAAAAUUGUACAUGGUUCGAAAACUUGUUUCGGGUUUGGCUCCUUCGCAAAAACAAAACAUUUUGGCAUUUAGAAGAGCUCUAGGAUUCCAUUUCAGAUACUUGUAAUAAUUUACAAAGUUCUCAAAAAAUGUCAAAUAUAAAGAACAGGAAUUGCCAUAAUAAAACUAACUUUCCCAAUACUUAAAUUGAACAUGGUCCGAAAACUUGUUUCCGGUUUAGCUCCUUCUCAAAAAACAAAUCAUUUUGGCAUUUAGGGCAGCUGCAGGUUUCCAUAUUUCAGAUACUCGUAAUAAUUUUCAAUCUCAAAUAUAAAGAACGGGAAUAGCCAUAAAAAAACUAACUUUCCCCAUACUCCAACAUAUCAAAACUAUAGCAUAUGGUACUCUUAUAAAUAAUAAAGCUACUUACAAAUUGCCACCUACCAGAUAUAUCAAAUAAUGACAAAUGAAAUAAGUUCAAAUGAUGGAUGAAUUAGUUCUUACAUUUUCUACAAAUUUCGACAGAAAUAAAUAAGUUCCCAUUAAAUAGGUCAAAGGGCUCUAUGCUAGACUUGAUAUAAUACUAUCCUUUAUUAUAGAGCAAAUGAGUAUCAAGUAAGACAUGGGCACUUGAGUACUUUGAAUUGACGAGCAAAUAAGUUGAUCAAACCUGACCCCAAGCAUGAACACCAGUAUCAGUCCUGCUUGCGCCAACUAAACAGAGUUCCUUGCGGUCUAGCUUUGUGAUGCGUAUUAAUGCAUUCUCAAUAAGGCACUGUAUGGUUGGCGGCGACUGUUGGUACUGCCAUCCUGAAACAUAGUUAGUAUUACCAUUCAAGUUGAUUUUAAACUCUGCAUAGUGAAGACUUAUUUAGUCGGAAAUGUUAAAGAGGAGUUGAAUAACUGAAUUCUAAAGAAACGAUGGUUCAAGUACCAAAAAAGAUAUGAAGAUACGUGGCCGCAAUGCACUGUUCCCUGGAUAUUAGGAGAAAGCGCUCACAACUCCCAACUUAGCAAGGACAACAUACACUAUACGAUCUUAUACAUAAUGCUUACCAGAAACAACUAAUAUUGUUUGACAUCCAGUGAAGCCAUGUCAAUAAAAUCUACAGUUUACGUAAAUGAUUCUUGGCCAUGAUUCUUCACUCUGCAUAUUUGAUAUUGGAGAGUGUUUUUUAGAAACAGGGCAAUAAUAAUAGCGGCUAUUCUAAUGAAAAUUUCAUUUGAAUUACUAUUUUGCAGAACAUAGUGUUCGUCAUGUAUCAUUACCCACUAGCAAACGAAGCAAACAUCUCUCUGAAUACAUAAAUACGACAAUUUAUCAAGAUUAACAACUCAGUUUGCCCCAAAUGUCCAUUGGGCCCAACGAACUGCAGUACUUACCGGAGAAAACUAGCCAACUAAAAUGCCACGAGUACAAAAGAAAGAACCGAGGGUUGAGUGACCGAAACCACAUCUAUUGAAGCCUGUAAAUAGAUACUCUUUCAAAUAAUGUGCCAUUACACGACAAUAAGAAAUGGGUUGUCAUCAAAAUGUAAACUUUUAAUGCUCUCUACACGAUAACCAUAUUCUCUCUGUGAGAUUAUAGAUGGACUAGACUAAGAUUGGCUAAAAGACCAACACUUAUGAACCGGAACGGGAAAAUUAUGAGACUGGUUUGGAGAUAAACCCACCACUUAUAAUACUCGGUCGUAUAAAGUACUACAGUCAUUAAGGCAAGAGUUACAUUGGUUUGUCAUCAAAACGCAAUUUUUAAAAGUACUAUAUGAUUAAAAAAAAAAAAAGAAGAAGGAACUAUUCUCCCUACGAGGUUGGGAAUGCGGAAGAUUAUCCAUACUGGGUAAAACCCAACAAUUAUAAGCUGAAAUGGGCAAAAUUAGAAGGUUGGGUUUCGGAAAUAGACCUUUGAACUUGGUGCCAUCGUAGGAUAUCACCAUUCUCCACUUGUGAGAGCUCGAAAUACCCAGCUUUUCUCGUUGGGUUUGUUCCCCCGAGUUAUCCACUAACACCAGCCAUGAAGAAGAAGAAGAAGAAGAAGAGGAAGAGGAAGAGGAAGAGGAAGAAGAUACCGAACCAUUGGAGGAGAAGGAGGAGGAGGAGGAGGAAAAGGCGCAAAAAGGAGAAGGAGAAGGGAAGAAGCCCACGGUCGCGAAACCCAUCAUCCCCUCCCUCCUCUCCUCGUUUCGCUACAAAACCCCGACCCUCAGAGGCGAAGGUAGGUAAAAAGAGAAGCAGAGUAAUUCUGGAUGAGUCGAGAGUGAAUUGGGCCUAGACAAUUAAGUGGGCCAGGCCUUCUUUUAUGCUAAUGGGCUUGCUACGAGGAAUAGGGCUAUAAGGCAUCAAAACACCCAUAUACGCGCUUCAGUUUUAAUUUGGUGGGCCGUACUGUAGCCAAUCAGGAUGAAGCUCCUUUUCUAAUAAACACUUUGAUUAAUUGGGCCGAACUUGCACAAAUGUGCUAAUCCAACAUAUGUUCUAAUUGGGCCGAGAUUGGUAAAGGUCUUAACUGGGUCGACACAGUUGUAAUUACACGGCCUUAGUUAAGAGCUGCUCAUUCAAACAUUUUCCACUUUAGGCAAUUCAAGGGACUUACCAAAAAUAGAGUUGUCGGCAAGUUUUAAUUGGGCCGAGACCAUGAAUAAAAUCAUAAAAAUCUCUUAUUAAUUUGUUUCCAAAAAUCCCCAAGCACAUGUUCUCGUCGCUGGUGAUGAAUCUCAUAAAGAUCUCGUGUUAUCACGUCAUGAUCGUGCACAUGCAGCAAAAAGAAAAGAAAAAAACAACGUACGCACACAUAUAUGUACCCUAGCUAUGAACUAAGCCACAUUAUUGUUGUUAGAUGUCCACAUUUGUUUCCAUUGCCUGCUAGUUUAGCAUGCUUCCCCACGUGAACCACGGCGCAAUCAUUCACUUAAAGUAGAAAAAAGAAAACAAAGUAAAAAAAAAGAAAAAAGAAACUCAUUAAAUAAAUUGGAUCCUUUUCCCACACAAUCUCCUUCAAUCUUAUACUCGGAAAGAUGCAAGUAUAUAUAUUGAACAUGUAUAGCUAACCGAAUAAGAUGUUACUACUCCAAAGUCCAAAAGAGUGGAUGACAUGUCUCUUGGGACAUUAAUUGACAGCAAAGGUUAAUAAUUAGAUAGAAGAGCGAAGGAUACGUAUGGUCACUGUAUCGUGGUGGGCUCAUCUUGGGGCAUUAUUGUUGGCAACGUAGUAACCACCUAAAGAUAUGGCUUACAUUUUAGGGGUAAGGAAUUACCAUAAAUCGCAAUAAUGGGGGGGAAGGAUCUUCUUUUCGCAAUAAAUGAAUUAGUGGUUGUGCCGGUUCCUGUUGCUUUCUUAUGCAACAAUUCAUCAUCUAUGUUGGGGACGAAGGAAAAGAUGAAAAUUACGUGUCCAAUUCCCUACAGUUUUUCGUAUGUUUGAUGACAUAUAUAUAGUAGGUGUCCCUUUUUUAAAAGAUCUUGGAAGUACCAAUGAAUCAAUUUUUUAUUUAAUUUUUCUCCUCUCAUAAUUGCCUUUUUCAUUAGAAGCCACGCUCCUCUUAUAUUUACCUUUUUCAUAAGAAGCCACUGCGCACGCGUGUGUGCAUAAAUUUUGCUUCAUUUGACAGAAGGAUAAAGCAGAUUAUGCUGGAAACAAAUAUAUCCAAUUGUACGCGAAAAAUAUAUAUGAUUUUUCUUCUCUUAAGCUUAAGUUUAAUCUGUUAGAGAACGUAAUAAUUACUUGGGUCGAACAUCGAAAGCUUGAUGGUAUUUCUAAUAUUUUGUAUGCCCCGAAUGCAAUUGAGUAAGCACUGUAAUAUAUAAUGGGCAAUUUGCUCGUCAAAAGUUGUACAAGAGAAAAUUAUUUCUUUGGUGUUUGUCAAUCGCCAUUUCACUUAUGCAAAACUUUAAUAGUGUAAUCGCUUUAAGUGCUAAUACAAAUGAGCAUGAUAUAGGCAUAUCAGAUGCACAAAAAUUCAAUAAAAUGUAGCAAUCAACAAUUUGUGUGGUCCAAUUGACCGCGCUAANGUUCAAGUACCAAAAAAGAUAUGAAGAUACGUGGCCGCAAUGCACUGUUCCCUGGAUAUUAGGAGAAAGCGCUCCCAACUCCCAACUUAGCAAGGACAACAUACACUAUACGAUCUUAUACAUAAUGCUUACCAGAAACAACUAAUAUUGUUUGACAUCCAGUGAAGCCAUGUCAAUAAAAUCUACAGUUUACGUAAAUGAUUCUUGGCCAUGAUUCUUCACUCUGCAUAUUUGAUAUUGGAGAGUGUUUUUUAGAAACAGGGCAAUAAUAAUAGCGGCUAUUCUAAUGAAAAUUUCAUUUGAAUUACUAUUUUGCAGAACAUAGUGUUCGUCAUGUAUCAUUACCCAGUAGCAAAAGAAGCAAACAUCUCUCUAAAUACAUAAAUACGACAAUUUAUCAAGAUUAACAACUCAGUUUGCCCCAAAUGUCCAUUGCGCCCGACGAACUGCAGGACUUACCCGAGAAAACUAGCCAACUAAAAUGCCACAAGUACAAAAGAAAGAACCGAGGGUUGAGUGACCGAAACCACAUCUAUUGAAGACUGUAAAUAGAUACUCUUUCAAAUAAUGUGCCAUUACACGACAAUAAGAAAUGGGUUGUCGUCAAAAUGUAAACUUUUAAUGCUCUCUACACGAUAACCAUAUUCUCUCUGUGAGAUUAUAGAUGGACUAGACUAAGAUUGGCUAAAAGACCAACACUUAUGAACCGGAACGGGAAAAUUAUGAGAAUGGUUUGGAGAUAAACCCACCACUUAUAAUACUCGGUUGUAUAAAGUACUACAAUCAUUAAGGCAAGAGUUACAUUGGUUUGUCAUCAAAACGCAAUUUUUAAAAGUACUAUAUGAUUAAAAAAGAAGAAGAAGAAGGAACUAUUCUCCCUGCGAGGUUGGGAAUGCGGAAGAUUAUCCAUACUGGGUAAAACCCAACAAUUAUAAGCUGAAAUGGGCAAAAUUAGAAGGUUGGAUUUCGGAAAUAGACCUUUGAACUUGGUGCCAUCGUAGGAUAUCACCAUUCUCCACUUGUGAGAGCUCGAAAUACCCAGCUUUUCUCGUUGGGUUUGUUCCCCCGAGUUAUCCACUAACACCAGCCAUGGAGAAGAAGAAGAAGAAGAAGAAGAAGAAGGAGAAGGGGAAUAGGAAGAGGAAGAAGAUACCGAACCAUUGGGGGACAAGGAGGAGGAGGAGGAAAAGGCGCAAAAAGGAGAAGGAGAAGGGAAGAAGCCCACGGUCGCGAAACCCAUCAUCCCCUCCCUCCUCUCCUCGUUCGCUACAAAACCCCGACCCUGAGAGGCGAAGGUAAAAAGAGAAGCAGAGUAAUUCUGGAUGGGUCGAGAGUGAAUUGGGCCUAAACAGUUAAGUGGGCUAGGCCUUCUUUUUUGCUAAUGGGCUUGCUACGAGGAAUAGGGCUAUAAGGCCUCAAAACACCCAUAUACGCGCUUCAGUUUUAAUUUGGUGGGCCGUACUGUAGCCAAUCACGAUGAAGCUCCUUUUAUAACAAAUACUUUGAUUAAUUGGGCCGAACUUGCACAAAUGUGCUAAUCCAACAUAUGUUCUAAUUGGGCCGAGAUUGGUAAAGGUCUUAACUGGGUCGACACAGUUGUAAUUACACGGCCUUAGUUAAGAGCUGCUCAUUCAAACAUUUUCCACUUCAGGCAAUUCAAGGGACUUACCAAAAAUAGAGUUGUCGGAAAGUUUUAAUUGGGCCGAGACCAUGAAUAAAAUCAUAAAAAUCUCUUAUUAAUUUGUUUCCAAAAAUCCCCAAGCACAUGUUCUCGUCGCUGGUGAUGAAUCUCAUAAAGAUCUCGUGUUAUCACGUCAUGAUCGUGCACAUGCAGCAAAAAGAAAAGAAAAAAACAACGUACGCACACAUAUAUGUACCCUAGCUAUGAACUAAGCCACAUUAUUGUUGUUAGAUGUCCACAUUUGUUUCCAUUGCCUGCUAGUUUAGCAUGCUUCCCCACGUGAACCACGGCGCAAUCAUUCACUUAAAGUAGAAAAAAGAAAACAAAGUAAAAAAAAAAAAAAAGAAACUCAUUAAAUAAAUUGGAUCCUUUUCCCACACAAUCUCCUUCAAUCUUAUACUCGGAAAGAUGCAAGUAUAUAUAUUGAACAUGUAUAGCUAACCGAAUAAGAUGUUACUACUCCAAAGUCCAAAAGAGUGGAUGACAUGUCUCUUGGGACAUUAAUUGACAGCAAAGGUUAAUAAUUAGAUAGAAGAGCGAAGGAUACGUAUGGUCACUGUAUCGUGGUGGGCUCAUCUUGGGGCAUUAUUGUUGGCAACGUAGUAACCACCUAAAGAUAUGGCUUACAUUUUAGGGGUAAGGAAUUACCAUAAAUCGCAAUAAUGGGGGGGAAGGAUCUUCUUUUCGCAAUAAAUGAAUUAGUGGCUGUGCCGGUUCCUGUUGCUUUCUUGUGCAACAAUUCAUCAUCUAUGUUGGGGAGUGGGGACGAAGGAAAAGAUGAAAAUUACGUGUCCAAUUCACUACAGUUUUUCGUAUGUUUGAUGACAUAUAUAUAUAGUAGCUCUCCCUUUUUUUAGAGAUUUUGGAAGUACCAAUGAAUCAAUUUUUUAUUUAAUUUUUCUCCUCUCAUAAUUACCUUUUUCAUGAGAAGCCACUUCGUGUGUGUGUGUGUGUGUGUGUGUGUGUGUGUGUAUAAAUUUUGCUUCAUUUGAAAGAAGGAUAAAGCAGAUCAUAGUAAACUAAUCAAGGCAAUUAUGUAUCUGCCUCUGUAUAAUGGGCAAUUUGGUCGUCAAAAGUUGUACAAGAGAAAAUUAUUUCUUUGGUGUUUGUCAAUCGCCAUUUCAUUUAUGCAAAACAUUAAUAGCGAUUAAUACAAAUGAGCAUGAUAUAGGCAUAUCAGAUGCACAAAAAUUCAAUAAAAUGUAGCAAUCAACAAUUUGUGUGGUCCAAUUGACCGCGCUAACAUCAAUAAAUUAAUGGUGGUCAAUAAAUACCUAGUUUAUUUUGGGACCACGUGAUGACUCGAUCAUAGUAAACUAAUCAAGGCAAUUAUGGAACUAUAUAUAUACAGAGGCAGAUAGAAAAGCUAGCUACAGUUGGAUGCAACAACUCAUAUUGAUUAAAACCUACUAUUUCACCGAUCGUUCCUAGCGCAAGUAGCAAAGGGUUUGGCGGUUGGUACCGAGAUUCCAAGUUCUUAUUCCAGUUGAUUCACAUUUCCAGUUAAAUUUAUUUCUAAAUAAAAUAAACUAAACAGAUAGGAUGCUACCUAUCUCUCUCUCAAAAAAAAUUUAUAUUGACCAAGUGAUGCUCCAUUUUAUAUUUAUAUUUCAACC
rnacentral:lncRNA from 1 species